GAAUCCUUACUAGGGAUAGGAAUCAAUGAUGUUCGGAUUGUGGGGAUUUGGGGCAUGGGGGGAGUCGGUAAAACGACAAUAGCUAGAGCUAUGUUUGAUACUCUCUUAGUAAAAAGGGAUAGUUCUUAUCAAUUUGAUGGUGCUUGUUUCCUUGCGAAUAUUAAAGAAAACAAACGUGGAAUGCAUUCUCUGCAAAAUAUCCUUCUCUCUGAACUUUUAAAGGAAAAAGCUAAUAACAAUAGUGAGGAGGACGGAAAGCACCAAAUGGCUAGUAGGUUUCGUUCUAAGAAGGUCCUAAUUGUGCUUGAUGACAUAGAUGAUAAAGAUCAUUAUUUGGAGUAUUUAGCAGGUCAUCUUGAUUGGUUUGGUAAUGGCAGUAGAAUUAUUGUAACAACUAGAGACAAGCAUUUGAUAGGGAAGAAUGAUGUAAUAUAUGAAGUGACUGCACUACCUGACCAUGAAUCCAUUCAAUUGUUCUAUCAGCAUGCUUUCAAAAAAGAGGUUCCAAAUGAGCAUUUUAAGGAGCUUUCAUUGGAGGUAGUAAAUUAUGCUAAAGGCCUUCCUUUAGCCCUCAGAGUGUGGGGUUCUUUGCUACAUAACCUAGGCCUAACUGAAUGGAAAAGUGCUAUAGAGCACAUGAAAAAUUACUCUAAUUCUGGAAUUGUUGAUAAGCUCAAAAUUAGUUAUGAUGGAUUAGAGCCCAAACAACAAGAGAUGUUUCUAGAUAUAGCAUGCUUCUUCCGAGGGGCAAAAAAAGAGUAUGCCAUGCAAAUUCUUGAGAGUUGUCAUUGUGCAGCUGAAUACGGAUUGCGUGUCUUAAUUGACAAAUCUCUUGUGUCCAUCAUUGAAAAUGAUCGUAUUCAAAUGCAUGACUUAAUGCAAGAUAUGGGUAAAUAUAUAGUGAACUUGCAAAAGGAUUCGGGGGAAUGCAGCAGGCUAUGGCUCGACGAGGAUUUUGAAGAAGUGAUGAUCAACAAUAAGGUAAGUAGGCUUAACAAUGCAAUAAUAUUUAAUUUCUAAUUUUCAUAUUCCAAAGACAUAUGGGGCAGUCAACUCCAUUUAUUUGUCCCCCUGCUUCAUAGUCUUGCAGGUACGUCAUUUUAGUUGUUUACUUUAGUUAGUAGAAGAAGCAAAAGUAAUAAUAAUUGCCUAAUAAGAUAAAAAAAAUUAAUUGCCUAAUUCGUUUAGUAGCCUCUUUAAUUUACGUCGCCUAAUUCGUUUUUCUUAUAUUUUUAAGCGAUGGAUUAGUCUAGUAGCCACUUAAUGUGUUUGAUCCAAUGUCAUUCUUUGGAUUAACUUGAAAAUUUUAUGACAUUUUAUUACAUAAUAACUCAAUCAAACAUUCACUUUACCAUUAUUAUUUUUAUAAAAAAGUUACAAUUUAUUGGUCCUGUUUCAAUUACAAUUACUUUCUAUCACAACAUGAAAAGCUUAUAGACUUGACUCUAAUGAACUUCUAAGAAAAAUGUAAUAAUUGAAAAUAAAACUAUAGAAUUAAUUGCAAAAAGUAUUUUUCUGAAGUAACGUCAGUAUUUCUUAAAAAGAAUCUAAUUAAUAUUGUAUCUUAUACUUUGGCAUUGCAAAGAGUGAGAAAGUAGUCAUAUUAGCAAGCGGAUUUUAUACUACGUCUGAAAUUAUACUUUGUAGACUAAUGAUCUUCUUACCAGGGGACCACGAAAAUGGAAGCAAUCUGGUUUCCUUAUUACCAUUGUGGUACAUUACGCUUUAGCAAAGAGGCCAUGAAAAAUAUGAAAAAGCUUAGGAUAUUAAACAUAGAGAGGUCGUGUACCUGUGAUGGUUCUAUUGAGUAUCUGCCCAACAACUUGCGUUGGUUUGUAUGGAAAUGCUAUCCUUGGGAGUCAUUGCCAGCUGAAUUUGAACCCAAAAAGCUUGUUCAUCUUGCAGUCAAAUCCAGUUCACUAUGUUAUUUAUGGACGGGAACAAAGGUACAAUAGUUGAGUUCUAUUUUACUUAUAUUUUUCUCUCUAUCUAUCUUUGUCCUUUAAUUUAGUGAUAAUGAACAAAUAUUAUUACUUUUUUCACGUAUUAUUUGAGGUACUUUCUAUUUUGGCUAGAAUUAUGAUGCAUGUCUUUAAAUGAACAAAAGUUAUUAAUUCCAUACGCUCAAAUUAAUGUAUUUCCAUCUCCAAAAAAUUAUUGUAUUUUAUAUUAUUUAUGGUUGUUCUAAGUACUAUUGUAAGAUCUUUAUGUCUUUUUUUUCUCCAAAUCUUCCCAUCAUCAUUUUAACUAAGAUGCUCAAUUUAAAAACUAAUUCAAUUAUUUCUCAUAGUAAGAUUAGAUUCAUAGAAAUUUCAUCCUAGGUUGUACAUAGUGGGACGGAAGUAAUACUUAUUAGUAAAACAAAAGGAGUUUAUUCUGUACAACUAUUCUAAGUUACUCGGACACGGGUGUAGGUGUCCAACAUGGGUGCGGAUCUAGAAGUCGGAUCCUUUGAGAUGUAAAUUCUAAGAUUCGUGGAUACGGAUCCUAGUACGGAUACGGGUGCAAGGAUCCGGCUAAAAAUAAUUCAAAAAAUAAAAAUAUAAAAAAUAUUUCUAAAUUAUGAUAAAUUUUGGGGAAUACUUAUGUAUAGCUUGUAAAGUGUGAAUUUCUUUUUUAUUCUCAAGUUGUAGAUAAGAAAAAGAUUGAUUUCCUAGAUAAGGUAUGCUAUUUUAUUCAAAUUUAUCCUAAUUUUGGUUUUGAUUUCGGGAAUUAAAUUGUAUAUCAUCUCGAAUUUUUUCGUCCGUCAUGGUCAAAGUAUCCAAAAUCGUUUGACCAGAUCCGGUAUGGAUCCCAUACCUACACCCAUACUAGUGUCAUGUCGAUACGGGUGCGGCACCUAAACUGCCAUGUCGGAGCAACUUAGCAACUAUUUUCUCGAAUGACGUGUACACUUUCAUACAUUGCUUCCGGAUUUAACAUUUGGGUUUCCCCAUUUUAUAUUACCCUUCUUUGAAGCACUUUUCUCUUUGCUGCAGGUUUUUUCAAUCAUUUUUAAUUGAAUUUAGCAAUAUUAUUUUAAUUAUAAUUUACUUUUAUUCAGUUUCUAAACAAGUAAUUUUCCAUAUAUAAAAAAUAAAUUUCUGAUUUCAUACAAAAUAAUGUGUUGGCCCUCAUAAUUCAAAUGCUAUCAUUCAUUUGUUGUCGAGGGAGUCAUAAAUGGAUUACUUUUUAGGAACGCUAGCAACAAGUAAUUAAGAAUUUAAGAAACAGAGGUCAUUUGAUGCCCACAAAUACAAAUGAUAAAACAAAAUAGUUUCUACAUUCAUAGAUAGCCCCACUAGCCAAAUAUUUUAUUAUUGGAAUCCAGUGGAGGAGCAAAAUAGGUUCUUUUUUUCUUCUCUCUCUAUCUCAUUCCAUUUGCAUUCUGAACAGCAAUUGUCGUCUCUACGGACGCUAGAUCUCAGAUACUCUGAAAGCCUGGUGCGAACGCCAGAUUUCACGGGGAUGCCAAAUUUGGAGUAUUUGAAUCUGGAGGAAUGUUGUGAUCUUGAAGAGGUUCACCAUUCCUUGGGAUUUUGCAGAAAACUCAUUCGGUUAAAUUUGGAGUCUUGUGGACGCCUUAAUUGGUUUCCAUGUGUUAACGUGGAAUCUCUUGAAUAUCUGGAUCUAGAUUUUUGCUGUAGUUUAGAGAAAUUUCCAGAAAUCCAUGGGAGAAUGAAGCCGGAGAUACAGAUUCACAUGAAACGCUCUGGGAUAAGGGAACUACCAUCAUCUAUUAUUCAGUACCAAACUCAUAUUACCUUCCUAGAUUUGAGCGCUAUGAAAAACCUUGUAGCUCUUCCAAGCAGCAUCUGUAGGUUGAAAAGUUUGGUUAGUCUAAAUGUGUCGGGCUGCACAAAACUUGAAAGCUUGCCAGAAGAGAUAGGGGAUUUAGAAAACUUGGAGGAGCUUUAUGCAAGGUAUGCUCUAAUUUCACGACCUCCGUCUACCAUCGUACGCUUGAACAAACUUAAAAUCCUGAAGUUUGGAGGCCUCCAAGAUGGAGUGCACUUUGAGUUCCCUCCAGCGGCUGAAGGAUUACGGUCAUUGGAACAUCUGGAUCUCACUUGUUGCAAUCUAAUAGAUGGAGGACUUCCGGAAGACAUUGGAUGCCUAUCUUCUUUGAAAGAAUUGUAUCUCAGUGGAAAUAAUUUUGAGCAUUUGCCUCGAAGUAUAGCCCAACUUGGUGCUCUUCGAAUCUUGAACUUAAGAAAUUGCAAGAGGCUUACACAGCUGCCAGAACUUCCACCAGAAUCAGAUACAAUAUAUGCAGAUUGGAGCAAUGAUUUGAUCUGUAAUUCGUUGUUUCAGAAUAUCUCGUCAGUGCAGCAUGACAUCUCUGCUUCAGAUUCCUUGUCACUAAGAGUAUUUACCAGUGUGCAUCUUGGGAAGAAGCCAAGUUGGUUCCUCUAUCAGGGAACAGAUAGUGGUGUAUCAGUCAAUACGGAUAGUGGUGUGUCAGUCAAUUUGCCUGGAAAUUGGUAUAUACCUGAUAAAUUCUUGGGAUUUGCUGUAUAUUACUCUGGCAGCUUAAUUGGCACCACAGCUCAAUUGAUUCCCGUAUGUGAUGAUGGGAUGUUGUGGAUGACCCAGAAACUUGCCUUAUCCAACCAUUCAGAAUGUGAUACAAAAUAUAAUAUUAAUUUUUUCUUGGUACCUCUUGCUGGCUUAUGGGAUACAUCUAAGGCAAAUGGAAAAACACCAAAUGACUAUGGGCUUAUUAGGCUAUCUUUUUCUGGAGAAGUGAAGAAGUGUGGACUUCGUUUGUUGUAUAAAGAAGAACCUGAGGUUGAGGCCUUGUUACAAAUGAGGGAAAAUAACCAUGAACCAACAGAACAUUCCACUUGGAUAAGGAGGACCCGAUAUAACAAUAGUGAACACGACUUCGUGAUCAAUGAAGCCAGCUGCUCCUCGGGUAAGAAACAAAAGAGUCACAUUUCUAAUAUUCAGGGGAGCUCUGUCUUUGAGAAUCUGCAGCAACAAGUAGAGGGGCCUGUCUCUUCAGAAACUUUGCAGCUCUUUCCUGCAAACCCAGGAUUUUAGCUCAGAUAGAGGUAUAUACCUCAUGCCUUGUUUUUUUUUUUCUAGUUGGUAUUGAAAUUUGUGUUCUCUCCUUCUAUUAGCUACAAAGUCUUCUUCCAAAAAUAUAUUUUCUUCUCAUUCUUUCUUACUUUUUCCUUUUUCGUUUUCUUUCCCCUAUUUACAGGAGCUCAUCAAUGGGUGAUGUACAUAUCAACAAUGAGUUUUUGUCUAUUGAUUCUCCAUCUUAACCAUGGUGAGUUAAAGGAUUCCAACAAGUAUAACUUUUUGUGCUCAAAUCAGAACCUGGAAUUGUGAAUGUGGAGAAAGCUGAGUACGAGAUGAAGUUGAGGUUCGUUCUCCCUCGUGAUCUCUCAGGCCAGGAAGUGAUUUAUGUAAUUAGAGAACCUAAGACUAUCAUCUGUAACCACCUUUUAGUAGGUGGAUUUCGUUCCAAAAGUUAAUUACCCUGUGAAUAAUGAUCAUUGGAGUGAUGAAAGAUGUUAUCCAAAUAGUAUUGAAUGGAUCGGCGGAAGUUUCUCCUGACUUGUGAAUGAUGCUGUAAGAUGGAUUCUAACUAAUGCAAUUUUGGAUAAACUGACGAAAUUGAUGUUAGGUUUUGGUGGCUUGUGAUUCCCCAUGAUAGCCAGGUGAAUUUUCAUUAGCUCACAAAACUGCUAGAAAUAGAGUAACUUUACUUUAUUUCUUUUUGUUGUUAUACCAUUCUUUGUCUAUAACACCAAAAGAGAAAAAGUCAAUAAUUUAUAUGAACCGCUGUGUGCAUACAAGGAUGCUUCAUACUUUUUUGUAUUAUCUUAUCACAAACGAGUCAGUUGAUUCAAAGAGGCAAAUUACUAUCUUUGGUGACAUAUUUUUGUUUGUUUUGUUAGUACUAUUCAUUCUGUCUGGUUUUUCAUAACCAAGUUGGUUUCAUUAUGUAGGCAUAUUAUAUUAAUUAAUCUACUUUGGGGAUUGUUCAACUCAAGUAUCAAUUUUAAGAUAUGUGUGUAUAGCCCAAAUUGCUACACUAUUGUAAUUUUGCUCUUUCACCUCUUUGUCGCCCUCCCUAUGAUUAAACUUAGUUCUCUGUUUGGCUUCUUUAAAGCAACGAUUCCUGUGCCUUGAUUCUUUCUUGUUUCCUGUCUUUGUUAUCUUACUACCUUUUCUGGUGUUUUGCAGUGUAUUACCUUUCAUUCGUUGAAGAGUUUUAGAAUUGCAAUCUCAACAUGUCAGUGCGCUUCCCUCGGGACAUGUGAAAGGUGUCUUGCAGAUAAGCUGUUCUUAAACCAGUCCAUCAAAAUUGCAGUCUUUAUACACUAGCGAUGAAAGGCAAUAUGUUUCUCUGCAAUUUGAGAAAAUGCCUAAAAAUCUACUAGAGGAAGCAAGUAUAUCUUUUUUCAGCCUCGAGGAUCUGUCAUGAGCAAUGGAAAUUACAAACAGAACAUGAGUAAGCUUCAGAUGUGACAUUCAAAGAUGACCUUAUGCCAAGUUCAACAGCUUUGUUGAAAAUGCAAGUUCUGGCUCAGAGAUAAAAACAGAUUUCGAGUAUCCUUGUCUCACUCCUAAACUGGAUAAACAUACAGAGACCUGAUCCUAGCAGUUUUUUCCAUUUGCAAUGUUAUGUAAUUAUGCAGGAAAAACAGUUCCAGGUGGUUGCAUUUCAUCAGUUAGUUAAUUUUACUGGGGUUUGGUAGGGUGAAUUAGUUUGGCAGGGUGAAUUCUUUGACGCAUAAUAGUUGCAAGAAAACUCAGGCUGCUUCGAGUUUUGCCUGACAAGUGCAGAUGAAAAGCUUUUGAGAAAGCAUAUGUACAUGUAAAAGAAAACUCAGGUUGCGGCCAAACUGCAUAAAGAAAGGAAACUUUUUUCAAAGUGCUUUAGGUAGCUUAGUUAGACUGAAAAUCCUGUGUGGUUCGAAUUCUCAUCAACGAAAGAGAAUGCCGGAUAUCGGACUUGGGUCAGAUCAUCAGGCUCAUGACCGGAAGAUUACAAGUUCGAAUCCUGUCCCCGCCUAAUCAGUGGAACAUUGUUCACUAGGAUAGAAGGCAGGUAAUGCCAAUUGGCAAAGUGACGUUAAGCUUCCCUAGCAGUACAAAAAGAGAGACCGUGAUAAUAUCAUCUACGUCUGCUCCUCGUUGAGUAGAUUCAAUAAGACUUGAUCCGCUCCUAGCUACUUCGGGGUGCCAUAGGAUGCCGGGAAUAAGGGGGGACAUACUCGAUGUGACCACUCCCUUUGUUGGGGGCUUGUCGCCCUGCUCUUCGAGUCUCAACUUACAAGUAUCCGUUGGUUCACUAUUUCUUAACGUGUCUACACAACUUAUGCAAAAUCAUGCAUACGCCACUGGUUGAAUCGUUCUUUUAUAUCUACUAAAUUGGUCAACUUAUCUCCAGUUUCGCUUAGUCUUUUGAGAGAAAAUGAUUGAAUUAUAACUUAUUGCGGUCUAAUUUGAUGAUAUGGAAGACCGCCGAGACCAAAUUACUAAAUUCAGAUCCAUCAAGUAUCCAAAUGGUUUAUAGGUAAAGUUAAGUUUGUUGUAUGCCAAAUAUAGCAUGGGUUUGGACAAUUUUUUACCUCAAAAUUUAUGAAUUGAGUUCCUUUCAGUGUGGAACAAGAUUAUGAACUAGUUAAGAAUUUAGCCUAGAUUCAUGAAUUUGGGAAUUUGGAUGCUGAACAUUAAUAGAGUUUGAUUUUCCACCAUUUGUUGGUAGGAAAUGUAUUAAAAACAUGAAAUUGAGGAAUAUUGUUAUGGAUGCGAUGAAAAAAAAAUGAUACUCCCCCUAUCCAAUUUUAAUUGUCGUUUUUGCCCAAAAAUGUUUCAAAAAAUCCGUGGCUUUAAAAAUUUAACAAAAUUAUUAUUUUUUCUUUCAAUUUUACUCUUGCUAUUUAAUAGAUUGAAAGUAAUUAUUAGUAGGUACUCGCUUUUUAAUAUUAGCAUUUAAUAGUCAAGGAAAUAAAUAAGGUUGAUUUAGUAAAUUACAGCUAGCACUUAAUACUCUCUCCGUUCACUUUUACUUGGCAUGUAUACUAAAAAUAGAUUUUUAUUUUUACUUGUCACUUUACUCAUAUCAAGAGAAGACAAUAUUUUUUUUCCAGUUAUACUCACAGUAUUUAUUACUCAUUUCAAAUUAUUUUCUCAAAUCCAAUAAAAAAUAUAUCAAUUAAUAUGGGUAUCAUGGUAAAUUAUACACUUCAUUUAUUAUUUCUUAAGGGGUGUGAAAAGUCAAAACGUGCCAAGUAAAAGUGAACGGAGGGAGUACUAAUGUUUUCUUAAUGAAUUUAAAUGUUGAUUCAAUUUUAUUUAAUACUCAGAAUUUAUUGGGGUUUCGAAAAGUAGGCAACAGAGCUAGAGGAAAAUGCACUGCAAUUUUGCAACAAGCGACAAAGGAUAUAAUGCAUAUAUCAAAAUUGCUUCUUCUUCCCAAAAGGAAAAAUUGACAAUAUAGAUUUUCAAGUCAUCGACAUGGACGUUACAAAGGUAAAGUUUGUUGUAAUUAAUUACAGCAGUUGAUCCUUCUAUAUAAAACAAUGGAGAAAAGUAACAUUCUUCUCAUUUAUGGACCUAUAUUUGUUGUCACUUUCUAUAUGCGCAAAGAAAAAUAAGACUAUAGUACCAGUGGCGGAGUCAGGAUUUUCAUUAAGGAAAGUUAAAAUAUAAAGAAAUAAACUCAUCAAAAAGUCAAAUGGUGUCAUUAUAUAGUAUAUAUACAUAUUUAUAUAAAAAUUAUCGAGGUAUACAGUAUAAUUUUCCGGCGACUUUGGUGCAUGUGGCUCUGCCACUGCAUAGUACUGCUUAAGAAGAAGCUCCACAAAAAACUCCUACUAUUUACUUUAUAUUAGGGGUAGACAGAGGCGGAUCCAGAAUUUUAGGAGGAUUGGUACAUUAUUACGGAGAGGUGAAUCCAGGAUAUAAAUUCUAUAGGUUCAAUGUUUGGUUCUUAAUAUUGCACCCAUUAUACGUUUGGAAUUAUAAGUUCAAAACUAUUAUUUUUAAUAAUAAUUUUCUUACAUCUAUAUCCAUACUUCGUGCUGAAAAUGUUGGGAUAAGUUGAACCUAAUAGCUAUAUAUUGCAUCAUCCACUAGUUUAAUAUGCACAUUUUAUUUAAUCAUAUAAGAUUUUUCGGUGACGAAAAAAAAUAAUAAUUUCAAUAUGUGAAUUUUUUUAAAGAAUAAAUCAAAAAGAAAGAAAGAAAAAGAAAUGCACUUAAUUAAUACACACCAUGUGAUGCCUAGUUUUAGAAAGAAAAAAAAUAAUAAGAUUGAUGUAAGAUUUGAACACACACUGUCACUUAGAGAGAUGCACCUAAUAUUAUAUAUGAUCUAGGGAGAAGAGCAUGGAUUUACGUCCUUCGAAGUAAUACUGAAUGUAACCCUACCAUAUAUAAUGCUACAUUAUCCAAUAGCAAUAAUGUAUGGAGUAGAGCCCAUCUUUUUAACGUAAACUUUCUAUNNNNNNNNNNNNNNNNNNNNNNNNNGAAAUGUUGGGAUAAGUUGAACCUAAUAGCUAUAUAUUGCAUCAUCCACUAGUUUAAUAUGCACAUUUUAUUUAAUCAUAUAAGAUUUUCGGUGACGAAAAUAAUAAUUUCAAUAUGUGAAUUUUUUAAAGAAUAAAUCAAAAAGAAAGAAAGAAAAAGAAAUGCACUUAAUUAAUACACACCAUGUGAUGCCUAGUUUUAGAAAGAAAAAAUAAUAAGAUUGAUGUAAGAUUUGAACACACACUGUCACUUAGAGAGAUGCACCUAAUAUUAUAUAUGAUCUAGGGAGAAGAGCAUGGAUUUACGUCCUUCGAAGUAAUACUGAAUGUAACCCUACCAUAUAUAAUGCUACAUUAUCCAAUAGCAAUAAUUGUAUGGAGUAGAGCCCAUCUUUUUUAGAAACUUUUCAUUUUUGGAGUGAUAAUUAUUUAUUUCUUGUCUUCUUUUCUUAACUUAGUCGGAAAUAUCAUCAAUUGUCUUCCUACAACAACCACAAUAUAUCUAUACAAUUUUCUUUUUUCUUCUUUAGACAAUUAACUAAAUCCAUGGCAUCAUUAUCUUCUUCUUCUGCUAUAGCCCACGCCUUUUGCUUGAGCCCGGUCCUCUGGACCCGGAUCGCCUAAAAUUUAGUCGGAUAACUGACAUUGACCUACGUAAAAUUGGUCACUAACCCGCCAUGACCGUUCCUUAUAUUUUAGCAAUUUAGGGCCAUAAAAUGAGAACUCAGCCCUUCUAGUUUUUAACAAAUUAUGAUAAAUCGAGUUAGGAACUUCCGAAUUCGAUUCUGAGCAUACGCCCAAGUCCCAAAUCACGAUACGGACCCACCAGGACCGUCAAAAUACUGAUUUGGGUCCAUUUACUUAAAAUGUUGACCGAAGUCAAACCUAGUAGAAGGUUAACAUCGCAAAUACGAUCUCCCACCUUGCAUUUGCGAGGCCUACAACACAUGUUCACGCCAACAACAUUAAAACUCUCCCAAAUACUCCGAAAUGCAUACGACACUCACCCGGACCAUCGGGGCUCCAAACCAAACACCAACACAAGUCUAAAAUCAUAACACGAACUCGCUCACACGAUCAAAUCAUCAAUAUAACAUCCGAAAUCACGAAUCGGACCACUUCGCAUUCGCGUACAGCCCUUUGCGUUCGCAUAAGGCAAAAUUCCACCUAGCCCGUUCACUCUACACGUUCGCGGUUGUGCCUUAGCGAACGCGAAGAAGGAAAAUAGAUGACAACUGAAGCUAAGUAAAAACCUGAUUUUCUAAGUUUCAAACCACCCGUAGCCUAUCCGAAAUUCACCCGAGCCCCCGGGGCUCCAAAUCAAACAUGCACACAAGUCCAAAAAUAUCAUACGAACUUGCUAGCACGAUCAAAAUACCAAAAUCAUGAAUUACUUUUAAUGUUUGCAUCCUUUAUUGAUUAAAGUACUUGAAUCAUAUUGAAAAUUGUUAGAUGAUAUAGUAAAAGACCGAAAUUUUACAUACUUGAAUUUUUGUGCAAAUUACUCGAUCGUUAAUAAAAAUUAUAUAUCCUUAUGUGUUAGCCUUGUGAUAGCUUCUCAUUCCGGAGGUUCAUAAAAUGUCCUCCUUUCUUGUAGAGCGAGCCGAACGCCUCGGCAAUAUAGAUGCAUCUAUGGAUCGUGUCGUACGUCCCUCGGUAGUGUACACGUUAUUCCGGAUCGGGCCCAUAAAAAUGACCUAAGGAAAAUUAGUCAUCGCCUCUCCAUGACCGUUUCUCGUUUUUUGGUAUUUUAUGGCCAUAAAACUGGAAUUUUACCCGAUUCUCAUAUUUCAAUGUGAUAUAGCCCACACCAUCUGCAUGGGCUCCGAAGGCCGGACCCGAAUUGCCUAAAAUUUUGCUGGCCCAUCAAAAACGACCUAAAAAAUAUUAGUCAUCGCCUCACCAUGACUGUUCCAUCUAAUUGUUAUGUAUCUUAGUUAACCUCUUUGAGCCUGUAAUCUUGUUUCUUUGGCAAUCACAUUACAAAAACUUCAUGCUAAUAUAGCAUGAAGUUAUUUCACAUUGAAGCUAAAACUUCAUGUUAAUGCAUGCUGAAGUUAUUUAUCCUGCAGUCUACAAUUUUAUCCGAAGCUUCAGUUUAAACAUGUUGAAGUUAUUUAGUUCAUUUGCUAAAACUUCAGACUAAACAUGCUGAAGUUAUUUAGUUGCUUUGCUAAAACUUCAGACUAAACAUGCUUAAGUUAUUUAGUUCAUUUGCUAAAACUUCAAAUCCGAUAUAUCCUAUUUGAGGGAGGAUAGACCCGAUAUAUCCUAUUUGAGGGCGGAUGGACCCGAUAUAUCCUAUUUGGCUGCGGAUAAAUCCGAUAUAUCCUAUUUGACUGCGGAUAAAUCUGAUAUAUCCUAUUUGAGGGUGGAUGGACCCGAUAUAUCAUAUUUGAGGGCGGAUGGACCCGAUGGUCGGGUCGGGCCUGGGACCACGAGCUAGGACCGUUUGGCCCACUAGAGGUGGGCUCGUACUGGUCUCGUGGGCUGGUUCUAAGCUAGGAACCGUUAGGACCGGGCCCGUUUGGCCCGCCAAAAGACCGUGACUAGACCGGUCCCUUGGCAGGCCAAACGGGCCCAACGGAUAUUAUUUUUUUUAAAAAGAGUUGUUUGGCUUUUGAAAAAAGGAGCCAUUGGGGGUUUAAAAAAUAGCCGUUGGGUAUUUAAAAAAUAGUCAUUUACCCCCCAUCCCCCCAAACUUAGUUUUAACCCCAAACGUUUUAUUAUUAUACUUUUUUCUUAUUUUCUACUAUAAAUACCCCCUCAUUAUUUCAUUUUCCGUUCAACCCGAACCCUUCCAAAUCCUGAACUAACUAUCUCCACUAGUCAUAAAAUAGUAAAAGCACAUACAUAGAGUCUUAUUUAGGGGAAUGAUGAUCUAGAAAGUAGAAUAACCGGUCAGGUCGUUACAAGUGCAGACCGCACAAGAAUUGUGCGACCGCAGAAGAUGCUUCACAACAACAAUCCAGAAAUGUGCGGUUGCAAAAUCAAAGCUCCUACCAACUGAAGAAAUCUGCAGACCGCACAUGGAACCUGGAAUCUCAUCUAUAAACACAUCUACAUACUCUCUGACUACUGGGAUAGACUGAAGUGUAGGUAUCUCAGCAUAUGUAUCUCUAACUCGCACAAUAUGAUAAAUGCACCCUUUUGCUAUCAUUUUCCUCACCUUAGAUAGGAAAUAAACCUACCUCUAGGUGUCGUUGUAUUUCCUACCCAUUCAAGGACUGGCUCACCAUGUGAGUUGUCUGUGCAGAUCCAAAUAUUGAUACUAUAGCAUGUGAGUUAUCCGUGCAGAUCCGGAUAUUGAUAUUAUAUCACGUGAGUUGUUCGUGCAACACGUGAGUUGUCCAUGCGGAUUAUAGCGCUUGGGCUAAAGGAGCACCUCCGAAGUCUACACAUAGACCCAGUAAGCGCAGGUACCUAUUGAGUGUGAGUGUUGAGUGAUUGGGAUAGUAGCCCCGGAACUGAGGAUGCUAUUACUACCCACGUGGAGGGGUAUUUAAGUAUUUACACUUACCCGUUCACACUGGGCCUGGUAGACCCAGUUAUUUUAGAUUUUUGCAAGAGAUACGAGGUGUGUCUUAGGAAAAUCCACCCGUCUAUAUGGAGGAUCAUGAUCCUUCUCCGUUACUUUGUGAAUAAUACCAAGUCUCGUCGGUUUACUAUCGACCACCUGCUCCGUCUAUACAGUCCCCGAAUUUUUUGAGGGGUUCACCGGUUCGUGAUGAGGUUGGAGCCUCACCUACUUAAUGACUGUAUGUGGGUCUCACUUCAGCCAGGCAUGGAUAUUUCUCGUAUUCAGGCAUACGCUUAGGGUGUAAAGGAGCGUAAGCAGAAGUAGAGGGCACAUAGCAUUGGAUCUUUGUAUUUUGACGGCGAGGAUGAAGUUUUAGCUGGAAUAAAUUAUGGACCGCUGAUGAAUUGGAUCAAUGGUCGAGAUUUGUUUGUGCUUCUUUGUGAGUGUGGAAAAUGGUCUACAUGGCGCAAUCAGAUUGGCUUAGAGAGGAGUGGAUUGCCAACCUGGACUAGUGAGGGCGAUUAGACUAGGUCAGGUAGGGGAUUGGGGCAAACUUUUGUGGAAAAUCCAUCAUUGUCUUAUCUUGAUCCACGUGCCUCUAUUUGUGAAAAAGAGGUGCAAAAGAUUAUCCAUUUGCAGAAAAUAGCAAAUCAAAUGCCAGAUGUAUUUACAGAUCUGAAAAGGAUAACAAAAUCACAUAUCCCUGUAGAGAAUGUUCCAAUCUGUAUUGAUGUCCCUGUUGGACAUUCUUCUAGUGUCAUAGCUAAUGAGUCAAAAUAUGUGCAGUACAUUUUGUUGAAGAGGCGUGCCCAUCCUUUAACAUUUCCAGGUUUUGCAAAUCUAUCUGGUGUGUAUGUCAUCUUCUUUGGAUGAUGACUAGCAAUAUAAUCAUUCAAUGGCCUACGCAGGAACUCUUAACAACAGUCUCCUCUUUGGAGAUGCUCUAACAACCAAACCUAAAGAUUGCACCCUUCGAAAUAUCCGGUCCCAUGCCUGCAUUGAUGCAAGGCCCGAUACAUCUCGACUAGUAUCAUAGGAACGAUAGUUUAUUUUGGUCUUUCGAUUCUUUCCAUCAUGGUCCUAGCGACCAUGUCUAAACGAGUGUGAAUUUUUCCUCCUUAUAUUGGGAAAAUCAACAGACCCGGGAAGCAGACUAUGAAGACAUAAAUUCGAUGAUGAAUGCCCGUACUUAGCCUUGGACGGAAUUCACCACCCGAUUUGGGUUGCAUUCCCAAACAACCCGACUCAUAGAUAGCGCCUUGUGGUGCGACAGGGUCCGGGCACAACGGAGCUCUCACCCUAUCUGGCGCCCCCUUCCAGGGGAUUUGGGGCCCGGUCCGCCGCUGAGGACGCUUCUCAAGACUACAAUUCGGAUGAUGGAGCCUCCCGAUUCUAGGUCUGGGUUGUUCUCGGUUCGCUUGCCAUUACUAGGGAAAUCCUUGUAAGUUUCUUUUCCUCCGCUUAUUGAUAUGCUUAAACGCAACGAGUAGUCCCGCCUGACCUGGGGUCGCAGUCGGAGCGCCUAAGCGUAAUAAAGGUUGGGGAGCCCAAACAUGCGACGGGUUGAGCCACGACAUUACGAGAGUUGAGUUUCAACCACCACUUGUAGUAUCAUCCGUCAUCGUGGACUCGCAUUUAGGCCAACCGCACACUCGGGGCGCACAUAUGGCCAGUAUCCGUCCCACGACAUCACCACGACCAUAAUUCUGGGUGCGGUGUGCGGGGGCGACGAUCGACUACCUUGUUUGAUUAUACAGUCCCCGGAUAUUCCAAGGAGGCUGAUCAAGCUUACACGUCGGGCCAGCAAGGCCCUCUUCUCCAGUAUCGACGAAGACCGAGACUGUGGCUGGCAGGGAUGCUUCGUCCGAGUAAAGAUCGAGGAUUUGAUCCCCCCUGAAUACAUGCCAUUCCUUGAGAAAUGGAAUAUGUCUCGUAAGUGCAACUCCUUCAUCAAAAUUUCUUCUGCGUGUACCCAGCCCCCGGACCUAGAUCGCCUCAAAUAUUUUCAGGCCAUCAAAAACGAUCUAAGGAAGCAAACUCACUGCCCCGUCAUGACCGCUCCUCAUUUUUUGGCGUUUUAUGGCCAUAAAACUGAAAUUCCGCCUAAUUCUCUGAGUUUCGUGUGCUAUAGCCCACGCCUUCCGCGUGGGCCCGGACCCGGACCCGGAUUCAUUUUCUGGAAGAAGACACUUGUUCUUCUUCACUGCAUGCAAAAUUCACAGAUGCUAAGUCCACACACAUGCAUCGAUCAUUGUAUCAUCCAGUGCUCCAUCUCUUUUGUCAAUCACAGCACACAGAGGCAACAUUCAAGUUAGUUCCUCAGCAGGCUUGUCACGACCCGAAAUUUUUACCUUUAAACCGUGAUGGCGCCUAACAUUUUACUUGCUAGGCAAGCCAACGUUAUAAUAAUAUUAAUCAAUUUUUAAAUAAUUUUAAAUUAUUAAUAAUCAAAGAAACAAAUGCGGAAACAAAGUUUGAAAUAUAGUGAAUAAUCCAUAAAAAUAAUGGUGUCUAAAUACCAUCCUAGAAUUGGUGUCACAAGUGCACGAGCUUCUAGAAUAAUACAAAUAAAGAUCCGAAUAAAAUGAAGCUGUCUGGAAAUAAACACACAGCUAAAGUAAAAUAGACGGGGACUUCAGAACUGCGGACGCAAUACAGUUAUACCUCAAGUCUCCUCCGAGUAGCUGAAAUCCGAGCAAGUCUAUGGCACGCCGCUGGGACCAACUCUGAAAUCUGCACAAGAAGUGCAGAGUGUAGUAUCAGUACAACCGACUCCAUGUACUGGUAAGUGCUGAGCCUAACCUCGACGAAGUUGUGACGAGGCUAAGGCGGUUCACUUAUAUUAACCUGUACGCAAUAUUAGUAAUAACAGCAAUAGUAGAAAUAAAUCAGGUAACUCAUUUAUAAUAAUUGACCCAAUUAUCAUUUCCAUCAAUUAUGUUACAGCGUGCAACCCACUCUCACAAUAUAUUCAUAUUCAAUUCUGUUGCAGCGUGCAACCCGCUCUCACAAUAUAUGNNNNNNNNNNNNNNNNNNNNNNNNNNNNNNNNNNNNNNNNNNNNNNNNNNNNNNNNNNNNNNNNNNNNNNNNNNNNNNNNNNNNNNNNNNNNNNNNNNNNNNNNNNNNNNNNNNNNNNNNNNNNNNNNNNNNNNNNNNNNNNNNNNNNNNNNNNNNNNNNNNNNNNNNNNNNNNNNNNNNNNNNNNNNNNNNNNNNNNNNNNNNNNNNNNNNNNNNNNNNNNNNNNNNNNNNNNNNNNNNNNNNNNNNNNNNNNNNNNNNNNNNNNNNNNNNNNNNNNNNNNNNNAUUCGACAGUGGGACCCACAUCUCAAAUCUCGAAAACUUAACGAAAUCCGAACACCUAUUCCGAGAUGAGUCCAACCAUACAAAAUUAUCCAAUUCCGAUAUCAAAUGGACCUUCAAAUCUUACAUUUUGUUUUGAUUUUAUAAAAUUCCAAAUUCUUCCAUCUAAAUUCGAAAUAAAUGAUGAAUAUAGACAUGGAUUUGUGAAAUAUAAUCACUUUUAGUUAAAGAACACUUACCCAAUUAAAAGUCAUGAAAAUCCCCCUUGAAAUCGCCCAAAUCCGAGACUUGAAACUCAAAAAAAUGAGCAAAAAUGGCUAAGACCCGAUUUUAUGUAUUCUGCCCAGCAUUUUCUCAUCUGCGACCUAUAUUUUCACAUCUGCGGUCUCGCAUUUGCGAUACAAAGCUCGCAUUUGCGGAACAGGGCAGCUUGACCAGCGGCCGCAUCUGCGCCCAAAAAUAUCGCACCUGCGACAUCGCAGAAGCGCACAAGUGAUCGUAGAAGCGGUCUUCUCGCAGAAGCGGCUUGUCCAUCGCGGAUGCGGUUUCACACCUGUGCUCAUUUUUUCGUAGAAGCGGAGCUCGGCAAGGCUGUUCAAUAUUGCAGAAGCGACUAGUAUUUCCGCAGGAACGGCCACGCACCUGCGCACAAAAUGUCGCAGGUGCGACACACCAGAACCAACACUGGGCAGCAAGUUCCAAUUGCUCUGUGGCUCGUCCGAAACUCAUUCGAGCCACUCGGGAUCUCGUCCGAAUAUUCCAACAAGUCCAAAAAUAUAAUACAGACUUACUCAAGGUUUCAAUUCACGUCAAACAAUAUCAAAAUUACAAUUCACACCUCGAUUCGAGUUUUGAGUUUUAAACUUUUCCAUUUGCAAAUCUUGUGCCAAAACAUAUUAAAUGAAUCCGGAAUGACUUCAAACUUGGCACACAAUUCAUAACUGACAUAACGGAGUUGUUCAAAUCUCCAGAAUCAGAUUCUGGCUCCGAUAUUAAAAAGUCAACCCCGUGGUCUAACUUGAAAAUCUUUAGCCUUUAAAUUGCUAAUUCCGUUAAAUGGUCAUAACUUGAGCUAGGAACCUUCAAAUUAAAUUUUGGGCAUAUGCCUAAGUCCCAGAUCACGAUACAGAACUACCGGAACUGUCAAAAUAUUGAUCCGGGUCCGUUUACUAAAAAUGUUGACCAAAGUCAACUCAGUUGAUUUUAAAACUCUAUUUCACAUUUUAAUCCAUUUUUCACCUGAAAACUUUUCGAAAAAUUUUACGGACUGCGCACGCAAGUCGAGGAAUAAUAAAUGGUACUUUUCGAGGUCUUAGAACAUAGAAUUACUUAUUAAAUUUAAAGAUGAUAUUUUGGAUCAUCAUAAGGCUGCCUCUUCAUCUUUCCAACCGGCCGCCGGUACUGAGGCGGUCACUCGUGAAAUUGCUUUCUUCGAGACAGCUAUUCCCGAAGUGGCUUCCACCGACUCGGCUCCCGAUCCCCCCUUGAAAAGCUUUAUUCCCGGGGGCUGUUCAAUUGCGAACAACUUUAAGGUCGAGAAACCCUCAUCCAAAAAGGACCGGGGUGAAGGAGUAUCGAGAUAUAUAUGCCCCGUUACCGAAGACGUCCUUCCCGUGGUAAGGAAGCUGAUUGGUGGGAUUCCCCUGAGGGGUGCACCGCCAACCGACCUUGAUCUUCGAGUCGUGACGACACUCGGGCCACUAGAUUGAAGGCUUCUGAUUGGUUAUUAUCUUCCACUACAAUAAAGUCAAGUUGUCGUGCGUUGUUAGUGACAAAAAAAUUACUCGGAUAUUACCUUGCUUUUAGUCUUUAACAUAUUUUACUAUUCAAAUAAACACGCUCGUAAUUUUUUGAGUAGGCAAAUUAUUUAAUUAGGUUCCUUAUUAAUUCAGUCAGUUGAAGACUGAGAAAUAUUUGGAUCUAAAGGUAUUCCUAAUGGUCAAUAAAGUGAAGAUAAAAAUCAUGAAAUUUCAUGUUCAAAUAAAAACACUAUAGGCAAAAAUCAUUAGGUGAUUAAUUUUUAUCUGGCUCCAAUAAAAUAGUUGAGAUGGAACGAUAUAACUUGGACAAUAUAAUCAUAUAAAAAAUAAAAUAAGAAAUUGAGAAAUAUGUUGCUGGAAAAAGACUUUUUCAACCUCCAUAGAAAAUUAAAAUAGAAAAAGAAAUUCAAUCAAUGGGGUCCUUUUUCUUUGGCAGAGAAGAGAGAGAGGGACGUUUGUGUUUGUGCUUUUGAGCUAUAAUUCAAUUCAAUUGGGAUAUGUAUGACUCUUUCUUUGUAGCUUCAUAUGUCCACUUGUACUUUUAGCUGUCCAUUGUGUAUAUACAAUGGAGAAUUUCCUACUUCCUUCUAUUAAAGUUCAAAGAAAACAAAAAAAAAAAACAAUAAUUCAAAUCAAGAGCAAAGCAUUAAGAAGAAGCUUCACAAUAAUUUCCUACCACAUUAAAUGUCACAGUAUGCAUCAGUUGACUGACUUUCCUUCUAUUAAAGUUCAAAGAAAACCCAGUACCAAUAAUUCUGUGGAGUAGAGCCCAUCUCAUACCAACUUUUCCAAUAGCAAUAAUUCUUAUCUCUUCUAACAUAUUAUAAAACUAUGUUGAAAAUAUCAUCUAGAGUUCUAUUACCACAACCAUAAUUUUUUCACAUACCGUUUUCAGAGAAUUAACAUGGAGUCCAUGGCAUCUUCUGCCAGAUGGAGCUAUGAUGUUUUCCUAAGUUUUAGAGGUGAAGAUACUCGAAAAAUAUUUAAAAGUCACUUAUACGAAGUCUUGAAUGAUAGGGAAAUAAAAACCUUUCAAGAUGAAAAACGGCUAGAGUAUGAUGCAACCAUCCCAGAAGAACUCUGUAAAGCUAUAGAAGAGUCUCAAUUUGCCAUUGUCGUUUUCUCAAAGAAUUAUGCAACAUCGAGGUGGUGUUUGAAUGAACUAGUGAAGAUUAUGGAAUGCAAGACUCAAUUUAAACAAACUGUUAUACCGAUAUUCUAUGAUGUGGAUCCAUCAUAUGUUCGGAACCAAAAGGAGAACUUUGCAAAAGCCUUUGAAGAACAUGAAACAAAGUAUAAGGAUGAUGUUGAGGGAAUACAAAGAUGGAGGAUUGCUUUAAAUGCAGCGGCCAAUCUCAAAAGCUCAUGUGAUAAUCGUAACAAGUGAGCUAAAAACACAUAAGCUGAUACUUUAUACAUUCAAAUGAGUUAAACAUAAUCUUAAAUAAAUUUUUCAAAUUUUCGGAAUAAGUAAUUCUAGUUGAUUAUAUAUGUUUCUAUCAAUUUAAUUACAAACUCAAUAACAUUGUUACACAGAUAAAAUUUAAUUAGUUCUUCAAAGAGUUUGAUUUAUGUGCACACUCCUUGUAUAUAUCACAAUCUUCUACUUUUUGUAGGACUGAUGCAGACUGUAUUCGGCUGAUUGUUGACCAAAUCUCGUCCAAAUUAUGCAAGAUUUCUUUAUCUUAUUUGCAAAACAUUGUUGGAAUAGAUACCCAUUUAGAGAAAAUAGAAUCCUUACUAGAGAUAGGAAUCAAUGAUGUUCGGAUUAUGGGGAUCUGGGGCAUGGGGGAGUCGGUAAAACGACAUAAGCAAGAGCUAUGUUUGAUACUCUUUUAGGAAGAAGGGAUAGUUCCUAUCAAUUUGAUGGUGCUUGUUUCCUAAGGGAUAUUAAAGAAAACAAACGUGGAAUGCAUUCUCUACAAAAUACCCUUCUAUGUGAACUUUUAAGGGAAAAAGCUAAUCACAAUAAUGAGGAGGACGGGAAGCACCAAAUGGCUAGUACGCUUCGUUCUAAGAAGGUUCUAAUUGUGCUUGAUGACAUAGAUGAUAAAGACUAUUAUUUGGAGUAUUUAGCAGGUGAUCUUGAUUGGUUUGGUAAUGGUUCUAGAAUUAUUGUAACAACUAGAGAUCAAGCAUUUGAUAGAGAAGAAUGAUAUAUUAUAUGAAGUGAGUGCACUACCUAAUCAUGAAUCCAUUCAGUUGUUCAAUCAACAUGCUUUCAAAAAAGAAGUUCCAGAUGAGCAUUUUAAGAAACUUUCAUUGGAGGUAGUAAAUUAUGCUAAAGGCUUUCCUUUAGCCCUCAAAGUGUGGGGUUCUUCCUUGACAUAACUGUAUGAAAAAGUGCUAUAGAGCAAAUGAAAAUUAAUCCUAAUUCAAAAAUUAUUGAAAAACUCAAAAUUAGUUAUGAUGGAUUAGACUCCAUGCAACAAGAGAUUUUCCUGGAUAUAGCAUGCUUCUUACGAGGGUUAGAAAAAGAUUACAUCAUGCAAAUUCUCAAGAGUUGUCAUUUUGGAGCUGAAUAUGGAUUGGAUGUCCUCAUCGAAAAAUCUCUUGUGUUCAUCACUGAAUACGGUAAAAUUGAAAUGCAUGACUUAAUACAAGAAAUGGGUAGAUAUAUAGUGAACUUGCAAAAGAAUCCGGGAGAACGCAGCAGACUAAGGCUCGUCAAGGAUUUUGAAGAAGUGAUGAUCAACAAUGCAGUAAGUAGGAUAAACAAUGGAAGAGUAUUUGAUUUCUAAUUUUCAUAUUCCAAAGACAUAUAGGACAGUCAACUCCAUUUAUCUGUUCCUCUUGCUUCAUAAUCUUGCAGGUACAUCAUUUUAGUUGUUUACUUUGGUUAGUAGGAAAAGCAAAAGUAAUAUUAAUUGCCUAAUUAGUAAAAAAAGAUAUUAAUUGCCUAAUCCAUUAAGUAGCCUCUUUAAUUUACAUUGCCUAAUUCGUUUUUCUUAUAUUUUUUAGCGAUUGAUUAGUCUAGCUAGUAGCCACUUAAUCUGUUUGAUCCAAUUUCAUUCUUUGGAUUAACUUGAAAAUUGUAUGACAUUUUAUUACAUAAUAAAAUGGGUGGGGAGUUCUUAGAGGGAGGGAGCCGAGUGUCUAUCGGAAACAACCUCUUUAUCCCAGGGUAGAGAUAAGGUCUGCGUACACACUACCCUCCCCAGACCCCACUAGUGAGAUUAUACUGGGUUGUUAUUGUUGUUGUUUUUUAUUACAUAAUAACUCAAUCAGAGAUUCACUUUUUCAUUAUUUGUUUUUAAAAAAAAAAGUCACUACAAAUUUUUGGUAUUGUUUCAAUUGCAGUUUCUUCUAUCGCAACAUGUAAAGCUUAUAAACUUGACUCUAAUGAACUUCUAAGAAAAGUGUAAUAUUAGAAAAUAGAACUAUAGAAUUAAUUGCAAAAAGUAUUUCUGUGAAGUAACAUUAGUAUUUCCUAUGAUCUUCUUACUAGGGGACCAUGGCAGUGGAAGCAAUUUGGGUUCGUUAUAAUUUUGGUACACUACGCUUUAGCAAUAUGAAAAGGCUUAGGAUAUUAUGCAUAGAGAAUAACAGGUGGGGCAAUGAUGGCUCCAUUGAGCACCUGCCCAAUAACUUGCGUUGGUUUGUUUUGAGUGGCUAUCCUUGGGAGUUAUUGCCGGCUGAAUUUGAACCCAAAAUGCUUGUUCAUCUUCAACUCAAACAGAAUUCACUGCGUCAUUUAUGGACGGAAACAAAGGUAUAAUAGUUGAGUUCUAUUUUACUUUUCUGUUUCUCUCUAACUAUCUUUUUCCUUUAAUUUAGUGAUAAUGAACACAUAUUAUUACUUUUGUCGCGUAUUAUUUGAGGUACUUUCUAUUUUUGCUAAAAUUAUAAACGAACAAAGGUUAUUAAUUCCAUAAGCUCAAAUUUUUGUAUUUCCAUCUCAAAAAAUUAAUUUUAUAUUAUUUGAGGUUGUUCUCAAUAUUAUUGUAAAAGAUCUUCAUGUCUUUUUUCUCCAAAUCUUCCCAUCAUCAUUUUAACUAAGAAGCUCAAUUUAAAAGCUCCUUCAAUUAUUUCUCAUGGUAAGAUUAAAUUCAUAUGAAUCUCAUCCCGGGCUGUACAUAGUGGGACGGAAGGAAUACUUAUUAGUAAAACAAAAGAAAUUUAUUGUGUACGACUAUUUUUUCGAAUGUUAUAUACGCUUUCAUACACUGCUUAUGGAUUUAAGAUUUGGGUUUUCCCGUUUUAUAUUACACUUUUUUAAAGAGAAACAUUUUUCUCUUUGCUAAAUUUUUUUUCAAUCAUGUUAAAUUACAAUUAGCAAUAUUUUAUUUAUAAUUUACUUUUAUUCAGUUUCUUAACAAGUAAUUUUCCAUAUAUAAAAAAUAAAUUUCUAAUUUCGCACAAAAAUAAUGUGUUAGACCCUCAUAAUUCAAAUGCUAUCAUUCAUUUCUUGUCGAGUGAGUAAUAAAUACUUUUAGGAAAGCUAGCAAUAAGUAAUUAAGAAUUCAAGAAAACAGAGGUCAUUUGAUGCUCGCAAAUACAAAUGAAAAAACAAAACAAAAAAGGUUUCUACAUUCAUACAUAGCCCCACUAGCCAAAUAUUUUAUUAUUGGAAUCCAGCAGAGCAGCAAUCAAGGUUCAUUAUUUUCUCUAUAUCUCAUUCUGUCGGUGUUCUGAACAGGAUUUGCAGUCUCUACGGAGGAUAGAUCCCAGCUACUCUGAAAGCCUUAUGCGAACACCAGAUUUCACGGGGAUGCCAAAUUUGGAGUAUUUGAAUCUAGAGUAUUCUGCUCUUGAAGAGGUUCACCAUUCCCUGGGGUGUUGUAGAAAACUCGCCGAGUUAAAUUUGACUUGGUGUGAACGCCUUGAGAGGUUUCCAUGUGUUAACGUGGAAUCACUUGAAAUUUUGUCAUAGUUUAGAGAAAUUUUCAGAAAUCCACGGGAGAAUGAAGCCGGAGAUACAGAUUCGCAUGCGAGACUCUGGGAUAAGGAAACUACCAUCAUCUAUUACCCAGUACCAAACUCAUAUUACCAAGCUAGAUUUGAGCUUUAUGAGAAACCUUGUAGCUCUUCCAAGCAGCAUCUGUAGGUUGAAAAGUUUGGUUAGUCUAAAUGUGUCGUUUUGCUCAAAACUGGAAAGCUUGCCAGAAGAGAUGGGGGAUUUAGACAACUUGGAGGAGCUUGAUGCCAGCUAUACUCUAAUUUCACGACCUCCGUCUACAAUCGUACGCUUGAACAAACUUAAAAUCUUGAAGUUUGGAGGCGUCAAAGAUAGAGUGCACUUUGAGUUCUCGCCGGUGGCAGAAGGAUUACGGUCAUUGGAAACUUUGAGUCUCAGUUACUGCAAUCUAAUAGAUGGAGGACUUCCAAAAGACAUUGGAUCGUUAUCCUCUUUGAAAAAGUUGUAUCUCAGAGGAAAUAAUUUUGAGCAUUUGCCUCGAAGUAUAGCCCAACUUGGUGCUCUUCGAAUCUUGGACUUAAGAAAGUGCAAGAGGCUUACACGGCUGCCAAAACUUCCACCAGAAUUAGAUACAAUACAUGCAGAUUAUUGGAGCAAUGAUUCCAUCUGUAAUUCGUUGUUUCAGAAUAUCUCGUCUGUUUCAGAUUCCUUGUCACUAAGAGUAUUUACCAGUGUGGUUCCUUAUGAUUAUGAGGAGAUCCAUGAUAUCCCAAGUUGGUUCCUCUUUAAGGGAAGGGAUAGAAGUGUAUCAGUCAAUUUGCCUGAAAAUUGGUAUAUACCUCAUAAAUUCUUGGGAUUUGCUGUAUGUUACUCUGGCAGAUUAGUUGACACCACAGCUCACUUGAUUCCCUUAUGUAAUGAUGGCAUGUCGUGGAUGACCCAAGAACUUGCUUUAUCCAACCAUUCAGAAUCAUCCGGCAGUUCAAAUAUACAUUUUUUGUUUGUUCCUUUUGCUGGCUUAUGGGAUACAUCUAAGGCAAAUGGAAAAACACCAAAUGACUGGGGGAUUAUUAGGCUAUCUUUUUCGGGAGUAAUGAAGUAGUAUGGACUUCGUUUGUUGUAUAAAGAAGAAGCUGAGGUUGAGGCCUUGUUACAAAUGAGGAAAAAUAACAAUGAACCAACAGAACAUUCCACUGGGAUAUAACAAUAUGAACACGACUUCAUGAUCAAUGAAGCCAGUUGCUCCUCGGGUAAGAAACAAAAGAGUCACAAUUCCAAACUUUGCAGCUCAAAUUUUAGCUCAGGUAUAUACAUCAGAUGAAUAACAGAAUACUAGUUUUGUGGUAGAGUUAAAGGCUCACGAUCUUUUAAAAUAUUGAGUGUUUUCUUUCAAGAUUGUUUGCACUAAUUCAUCUAAUAUGAUCGUUUCAAAUUAGGAAUAUCCGAUGUUUUUUAUAUUAACGUAUGUUGUUACUUGUUAAAAUAGAUCUUGAUAAAUUAAUAACAUCUAUAUCUCUAUAUUACUUAUAAGUGGUUUUAACAAGUUUACUCUUUUGCUUUUGGAUUAGUUUUUACAGUUCAAAUGGGAACAAGGUAUUUUGAGAACUAAACUGCAUAUGAAAGAUUGGAAGUCCCAUCAAGAUCAAAUCAUUGAGAAGGUCAAAGAGGCUUUAUUUGUGCACUUAGAUGAAUAAGAUUUGCUAAUUUGAGAAUAUGGAGUUUCUUCUCCUAGCAGAUUUUAGUCAAGUAGCUUAUGAACAAUUUUAAAUCUUUUUAGUCUUUUCUAGUGAACCAAAAAAAAUGUUUUUCAUACAAUAUGUGUUUGUUCGCGUGACAAUAUCCAUUUCUCCCUUUUUACCCCCUGUGAAAUAAAAUAAAAUUUCAGAUAAAGUAAAAGAUAGAAAUGUCACGUUUUAAAUCUUCAAAGGGCAAUUUGUAUAAUUUCUUUAUUUGGAACUUAUAUUUGAAGAGCAAGGUGAACUUAUAUUUCAUUACAACAAUUACUAUAUUAUUCUCUGUUUUAACUUUUAAAUUCACAAUUCUCGUAACAAUAAUACUUUUCUCAUUUCACCCUUAACAAUAUCGAUUUAAUGGAAUAACUAAUGUCAUGUUUUUCAUAACAUUUUCUACCAAGACAUGGUGGAAUUUACUCAUAAUCUAUAUAAAUGUUCUUGAUUACACUACAAAUAACCAACUUCGAUUUGAUAUUUCAAAUCAGAUCGUAUUUUUGUUUAAGAAAUGAAAAUAAAUCACUUGGAACCCAUAUAAGAGAAAUCUAAAUUGGAAAUUGUGAAAGUUAGACCCCAUGGAAUUCAUAUCUACGACUAAAAUAAUAAAACAAAACAAGUAAGAGUUAUUUUGAAGUUUCAAAAUUUUUAACAAAUUAUAGUAAUUAUGUUACUAUUGUUUAUCCACACUCGAUGUGCAUAUCAAAAAGACCAAUAAAACUUAUACUUUAUAAACAUUAUGACAUUUCACUAUUAUCAUUUCAAGAUAAGAAAAGACAACAGAAAGGACUAAUAUGCUAGGCUUCAGUUUUUCUUAUAUUUAUAAAGAAUUUAAUUUUAAACUAGGACUAUUAUCUUGAAACAAGAGGAAAAUAUUUGAGAAAAUUUUCGUCCAGAAGGGUCACACUCAUCUAAGCUCACAGGAAGAAAAAAAAUUUAUAUAGCUCUAAUAAAUUUUUUUUUUAAAGUCAAAAUAUAAUCAUAAAUUCAUAUUUAAAGAAAAAGCUAUUAAGAAAAGUCAAUGUUAAAAAUAAAUAAAUAAAUUCUCUAUCAGUAAAAAGAAGAAUUCUUUCUCUUGUUAUAAAAUAAAGACUAUAAAAGAAAUAAACUGAAAACAAGUAUAGAGGGGGAUUGAUAUUUUAUUCCAACUUUCAAACUGAUAUCUAUAAUGAACUAAAAACUCCUCUAUUUAUAGAAGAAAAGAAGCAGUUGCGAGGCUUUUCUUCAGCUGCUUGUAAGUUGUCUGCAUGAGCUGCUCGCAACUUACAUGUUUAAUAAAAAGUUGCUGCAAAUCAUUUCAUUGAGUUACUUGCAACCUGCCUGCAUCAGCUGCUUGUAGAUAAAUUUCAACAGAGUACUAAAUGGAUGAUCUUCUUCAAGAAGAUUAUUUACAGCGGAGUAAUAAAUAGACAUCCACAAAUAAUAGUUUCAUAACACUCCCCCUUGGAUGUUCAUUAAAGAUAAUAUGCCUCGUUAAAACCUUACUAGAAAAAACCCAGUGUGAAAAAACCUAGUGAAGGAAAAAGAGUAUACAUAUUUAGUAAUACGCAUUUCUAGUUGCCUCAUUAAAAACCUUACAAGAAAAACCCCAUGUGAAAAAAAUUUAGUAAGGAAAAAAGAGUACAACGCGUAUUUCACUCCCCCUUAUGAAAACCUUAUUUCAAAUAUUUGAGUCUCCGCAUUCCAAUCUUGUAUACCAUCUUCUCAAAAGUUGAAGUUGGCAAAGACUUAGUGAACAAAUCUGUCGGAUUGUCACUUGAACGGAUUUGUUGCACAUCAAUGUCGCCAUUUUUCUGAAGAUCAUGUGUGUAGAAUAAUUUUGGUGAAAUGUGCUUCAUUCUAUCUCCUUUAUAAAUCCUCCCUUUCAUUGGGCUAUGCAUGCAUCAUUGUCUUCGUAUAAAAUUGUGGAUCUUUUAUCAUAUUCCAAACCACAUAUUUCUCGAAUGAAAUGAAUCACCGAUCUCAACCAUACGCAUUUCUUACUUGCUUCAUGAAUAGCUAUUAUCUCAGCAUGAUUUGAAAAAGUAGCAACAAUAGAUUAUUUUGUGGAGUGCCAUGAUAUGAUAAUACCUCCAUAUGUAAACACGUACCCAGUUUGAGAUCGAGCUUUAUGGGGGUCUGAUAAAUAACCUGCAUCUGCAUAACCAACAAGAUCUGCACUAGUUUUGUUAGCAUAAAACAAAUCCAUAUCAAGAGUUCCAUUUAAAUACCGCAAUAUAUGCUUAAUCCCAUUCCAAUGUCUCCGUAUAGGAGAAAAACUAUAUUUUGCUAGUAAAUUAACAGAAAAUGCUAUGACAUGCCUUGUAGCAUUAGCAAGAUACAUAAGUGCACCAAUUGCACUGAGAUAGUGUGUUUCAGGACCAAGGAGUUCCUCAUUCUCUUCUGGAGGUCGGAACGGGUCCUUAUUCACUUCAAGUGAUCGAGCAAUAAUUGGUGUAAUCAAUGGGUGCGCUUUGUCCAUGUAAAAGCGUUUUAAGACCCUUUAUGUAGAGGCAGAUUGAUGGAUGAAGAUCCCGUCUGCUAAAUGUUAAAUUUGCAGACCAAGAUAAAGUUUUGUCUUUCCAAGAUCUUUCAUCUCAAAUUCUUUCUUAAGAUAUUCAAUUGCCUUUUGGAGCUUUUCUGGAGUUCCAACAAGAUUUAUGUCAUCAACAUAAACAACAAGUAUAACAAAUUCUGAUGCCAUUUUCUUUAUAAAAAUACAUGGACAAAUAACAUCAUUUAUGUAACAUUCUUUCAACAAAUAUUCACUAAGGCGAUUUAUACCACAUGCGCCCAGAUUGCUUUAAACCGUACAAAGAUCUUUGUAAUCUGAUUGAAUACAUUUUCUGAGAUAUUGAAUUUGCUUCAGGCAUUUUAAAUCCUUCAGGGAUCUUCAUAUAGAAUUAAUCAAAUGAGUCAUAUAGGUUAUAACUUACAUUUAAAUGGCAUGACAUCUUCAGGUGUCUGGACUGCAGGUCCGAUCCUCACAAUCUUUUAUAAUAUUGUGCACUAUAUUAUAUCAAAUAUAUCGUCGACGAUCAUUUCGUAUCAGUUCGCAAGCGACAUAACUUGUUGAGAUCUUAUCACUUUUUUUAUUUUCAGGUGCCUGAACUUCUUCUGGAGUUUCAUGAAAUAUUAUGUCAUGGGCUAUUCCAGAGAUUAUUUCCUCCUAAUUAUGAUCAUUUUGAUCAUUUACUCCUAUUCUUUUCAAGGAUUGUUACCUUUGGAACCGAUUGGUCCACACUUCAUGCGUACAGUAAACUCUAUCCUUCAGGGACUUUAAUUUUAAUAAGAGCAUUUGCAGCUGAAAUAUGAUAUUUAAUUUUGGAUCAGCAAAUGCUUCUGGCAUUUGACUUGAAUUAUCUUCUAAGCAAGGAUCAUAUUAAUGAUAAUUCGAUUCAUACAACAUAUUUUCUAGCUGUUUUAUUCCAUCCCCCAAAUAUUAGAAAAACUAACUCAUAUCCCCAAUCUUCUUUGGGAAACAUAUCUUUGUGCAUUGUGGUAGAAAAAUUAAUCAUAUACCACACAUCAAAAGUUAUUAAAUAGUAAAAAUAUUUUGUUUCUGAUCCUAAAUCAAUUGUGAGGGGAUGACUUAUCAUAUUUUGUUGGUCUGAUGCAUACAAGUGCUGUUGUAUGCAAUUUAAAAAAUCUUAGACCAACACAUGAGGCUUUGUCCUCAUAAGCAAUAGUUUAGCCAUUAAUAGGAGGUAUUCAAUGCUAAACUAGCUUGGAUAUAAAUCAUCAUCAUCAAGAUGAACUAUCUUGAUUUCAUAAUCUGAAAAUUAUGCUCUUAAUUGAGAAAGACAAUUUCAAAUGCCAAACUGCAGGUUGACAAUAAACAUACAUGUAACCAUCUUAUAUAUGCAUCUAUAAGUGUUUCACAUGAUAGGUGAAUGAGCCUAUAUUUAACUUUUAUAUAUUUUAGAAUUCGGGGAUUUUAGUCCCAACUUUAGCUGGUAUAAUUAAGUUAUUAUGAGAACAAGCAACACAAGAGAAUUCUUGAAGAAUCUUCUAGUUAUUCAAUAUAUGCUUAUCUGAAUUUUCAAAUAGCUCAUUUAAAAAUGGCAAAUGAAAACUUCAAGUUUAUCAUGGCAUGUGUUAUCUCUAAGUAAACUUCUGGUUUACUAUGGCAUAAACUUUUGCAUCAAUAAACUUCUGAUUUAUUGUGGCUACUUUUGUAUCAGUAAAUUUCUGAUUCACUGUGACUGCUUUUGCAUUAGUAAACUUCUGGUAUACAUAAGACGGAUAACUUCUCACAUAUAUAUUUACUCCAUAUGAUUGUGAAAAUAUGAAGAUUUUCAAUCUUUCAAUCAUUUGUAGUCUCAGUUUGACAGUCACAUAUAUUAGUAAACUUCGGUUUAUCAUAACAUAUGUUCUGACCACAAUAAUGACAAAUAAGCUUUUCGGGAGCCUUUCAUUUAUUGUCCACAAUCAAAUAUUAUUUAGACACUACUUAUGUCAUGUGUCUUCUAGACAAACAGUUAGCUCUUCAGGAGCUUUUGUUAUACUACCAAAUAUUUCUCAGACACUUCUGGUGUCAUGAGAGAAAAUCAUAAUUAAAUGAAUAAUAUAAAGCUAAUUCUAAAUUUAUAAAUUACGAAAAUUAAGAAUUUUAAUAUUUCUACUACUAAUUUUGUGACAAAUAUCUCCUUCAAGGAGAAAUAUCAUUAGCAUCUGACUAUUUUGUAUCGAUACGACAACCACAUAGUCAUUGCAUCUUUUAAAAAAAGAUACACGAGUUGUUAUUUCCUUCGGGGAACUCAAUAACUAACCAUAAUAUAUUAAUGUGGUUGUAGUAGAAAGCAUUCUACAAUAAUGCUUUUGCCUUAGAAUGAUACUUAAUAAAAUUAUCCAAGAUGUUUACGUACAACAGGCACGUGCGACAAUGAUCUUUAUGCCACAAAAAUAAUAUUUAUAUUCUCUGUUAUUCUAGCUCUUCCGGAGUUGAGUUGUGGUAUUUAUUCAUUCACUCCAGGGAAUGAAAAUGUGCUUCAAAAAUAACUUUGAAUAGCUCAUUAUUUUAUUUACGCACAGAAAGGCACAGUUUCAUAAUAUUUUCCUGCUUCGGGAGAAAAUUUCAAUUGUGUUACUUCUUCAGGAGCAAAUUAAAAUACGAAAAAUUGAGUAUAUAUUCUCUCAAUCAUAUUACCUCUUCUGGAAGUAAUCGUAAUAUAUUUACAUCAAUAGCGCGCUCAUAUUUACGGCUUUAUUAAUAUUGUCACAUUCAUUUCAGGGAAUAGAUUAAUAUUUAUAAAAAUUCUUAUCCUUCAGGAAAUCAAACAUAAUUAUCUGAACACGCAUUAAUCACAUCAAAUUGUGAUGCUUCAACCUCUUUUAAAAUAUUUACUACUUCAGGAGCAAAUUGAGGCGUGCAUGUAAUAUAGAGAAUAUUUCUCUAGCUUAUCUUCAUUAUAACCAUAGCAAGCCUAAAUUAUCACUUCUGGUGGUCAUAGGCACAUACCACUUCUGGUGGUUAACAAAAUUUAGUUACAAUGAGAUAUACGAAACACAAUCACUUCUGAUGGUUGUAUAUUUUUUGCAAACUCUGUUGGAGUUUAAGUGAAUCUAACAAUGUUAUCCACUUUGUAAUCCUUUAUUAAGAUAAUAAGGAUGGAAACAAAUACCAAAAUAGGUACUGUAUACGUAACAUAUAAUCAAGCAAGCGAUGAUAAAGAUAUUAAAAUAUAAGCAAAAGGCUCAAAUUAAAUUACGCAAAUUUGGCCACUCCAUAUGUAAGUGAUAUCUACAUCACUACUGCUAAGAAGAAAAACUCACCACCUCAAGGAUAUAAUCUGCCUUGUGAUGCUCGGAAUGAACAAGAUCUGACCACGGACAUAAGAGUGUCGCCUUACAUUGGAGAUGAAUACUUAUUCAAAGUUAUGAGAUUUCUAGGUACAUCUACCUAAGGCAGCUUUGGCUUCCAUCGUCUUUUGCUCCAAAUUAUCUCAAGUUAGAGAUAACUAUACAUUCAAACAUAGAGACUCGUGCUGAUAACGUGUUAUAAAAUAAAGACUAUAAAAAAAAUAAACUGAAGACAAGUAUAGAGGGAGAUUGAUAUUUUAUUCAACUUUCAAAGUGAUAUCUAUAAUGAACUAAAAACUCCUCUAUUUAUAGAAGAAAAGAAGCAGUUGCGAGGCUUUUCAGGAAGCAGCUGCGAGGUUUUUCUUCAGCUGCUUGUAAGUUGUCUGCAUGAGCUGCUCGCAACUUGCAUGUUUAAUAAGAAGCUGCUGCAAAUCAUUUCAUUGAGUUGCUUGCAAUCUGCCUGCAUCGGCUGCUUGUAGAUAAACUUCAACAGAGUACUAAAUGGAUAAUCUUCUUCAAGAAGAUCGAAGUAAUAAAUGAACAUCCACAAAUAAUAGUUUCAUAACAUCUCUUAAUUUGUUGAUUGCAAAUUUUCAUGCAUUUUAAAUAUCAUAAAUACCAUAAAUAUCAUAAAAAUCACUCAUGAUUUGAAAUACGUUUUAUGUAGUUUUUAAAUAUUAAAAUCUUAUUUAAAACUAAAAUAAUCAAUAUCCGAGUUAUCCAAAAAAAUUAAAAAUUCAAUCCUCGUACUCAAAACCCUGCUCUAUUAUUUUGGGACUGAGGGAAACUAAUUUUAUCCUAAAAUUAAAAUUAGGAAAAUAUAGUGGAAAAAAGAAAAUAUUUGUGAAUUCUUGGUCAAGCACUCAGUCUGUAGCAGCCCACUAAUCCCUGGCUCCUAGUCCAGCCCAAUCUUGUUCAACAAAUUGAAAUUUUCAGCUAAAUUUGGAAUCUUAUUAAGUGGUAUUUUCAGAGCCAAAAGUUGGAAUUUUAUUGUUUGUCAUUGAGUAGUUGGUGAACAACAAUAUCAAACGGCAAAAAAUCCAGCAGACCAAAGUACCCAUUUAACUUCUAGCCUUUGUUUGAUAAAAAGCGUCAACCUUUAACUCCAAUUUUUACAUACCCAUUAAGGUAAAGUCCUUCAAAUUCUUGAUUUUUUUGUGUUUUUAUUAAGUGGGGUUAUGUGUUUUUGUUCAUUAUUUGAUCUUAAUUGGAGUUACUUAUUAUAAAAAUUUGUUCUUGCUAUGUAUUGUUACACUUUGCAGUAUUUAGUGGAAAAGCUGCAAUCUUUAACUCCAAUUUUUACAUACCCAUUAAGGUAAAUCCUUCAAAUUCUUGAUUUUUUGUUUGUUUUUAUUAAGUGGGGUCAUGGGUUUUUGUUCAUUAUUUGAUAUUAAUUGGAGUUCUGAUUAUAAAAAUUCUUUCUUGGAAUGUAUUAGGACCUUUUGCAGUAGCUAGCUCGGACAAUAUAAUCAUAUUUAAAAAACUGAGAAAUAUUUUGCCCGUAAAAAAUUAAAAUAGAAAAAGAAAUUCAAUCAAUGGGGUCCUUUUUCUUUGGCAGAGAAGAGAGAGAGGGACGUUUGUGUUUUAGCUUUGGAGCAAUAAUUCAAUUCAAUAGUAACAAUAAUUCACGUCAACUGGACUAUAGCAUUAAUGUUACAAUGUAUACCAGUACCAAUAAUUCUAUGGAGUAGAGCCCAUCUCAUACAAACUUUUCUUAUUUGAAGUGCCAUAGCUAAUUGUUUAUUUCUUUCUCUCCUAUUAUCAUUAGUUGAUCCAUAUACAUGUUUUUUUCUUUUCCGAUAAUUGACUGAAUCAAUGGGAACUUCACAGUUUCCUCGGUGGAACUACAAAGUCUUUCUAAGUUUUAGAGGUGAAGAUAAUCGAAGAACAUUUACAGGUCACCUCUUCAAAGGCUUGGAAAACAGUGGAAUAUUCACGUUUCAAGAUGAUAAAAGGCUAGAGCAUGGCGCAUCAAUAUCAGAUGAACUCUUGAAAGCUAUCGAACAGUCUCAAGUUGCCCUCGUCGUUUUCUCAAAGAAUUAUGCAACAUCGAGGUGGUGCUUAGAUGAGCUAGUGAAGAUCAUGGAAUGCAAGGAUCAAUGUGGACAGAUUGUCAUACCAGUCUUCUAUGAUGUGGAUCCAUCACAUGUUCGGAACCAGACAGAGAGCUUUGCUGAAGCCUUUGAAAAACAUGAAACAAAGUAUAUGGAUGAUGUUGAAGGAAAGCAAAAGGUGCAAAGAUGGAGGACUGCUCUAACUGCUGCCGCAGAUCUAAAAGGAUAUGAUAUCCGUGACGGGUGAGUUAAAAACACAUAGUAAUUUCUUAUAAUGAAAAAAAUGGAAUACUACAAAGAGAGGGUUGCUCAAGUACUAAGCACCUCCAACUCCAAACCCUUGGGUUGCGGGUUCAAGUUACCAUAGGAGCAAAGCAAGGAGCUCAAAAAGAAUAAUUUUCAUUCAAAUGUGGUUGCUUAUGUGAAAAAGUACUACAUAUUCUACUAUAGAAAAGGAACCUGUACCUCAAAAAUGAGUUAAACAGAAUAGACACUAAAUAAAUUUAUCAUAUUUACAAAAGAAAAAUUAAAAGGAGGAAACUUAAUCAAUUUAUUUUGCUAAAAAUACUGCUUACACAAUCUAAUUUCAUUGAUUGUCAUUUAGACGUUAAAAAUGUUUUUAUUUUUUAUUUUCCUGAAAAGGAAUGAUGGUUGUCAUAUAUGUUUCUAUCAGUAAGAAGACACUAUAGUUCCUAUCACUACAAUUCCUCAAUAACAUUCUUGCACAUAUAAUAUUUUGAUCGCUCCUUCAAGCGUUUAUUUUAUGUGCGUAUUCUUUUAAUCAUCUCUAUGCAAAUUAACAAUAUUUAGUAGCUCAGUUUGUUGGCUAUUUUCCUAGUUGAUGAGAGUUCGAUUCCUCACCUUGCAAUCUUCUCUCCCUUUCCCCUACCCCUAUGUAAUAAAAAAAUAAUUAUUAAAUGCUUACUAAUACUUGACUUUCUUACAUUUAUCCGCAAUUAAUCUUCCUACUUUUGUAGGAUUGAAGCAGAGAAUAUUCAGCAGAUUGUCGACCAAAUUUCCAAAUUGUGCAAUAAUGCUACUUUGUCUUCUUUGCGAGAUGUUGUGGGAAUAGAUACUCAUCUGGAGAAAUUAAAGUCCCUACUUAAGGUAGGAAUUAAUGAUGUUCGGAUCAUAUUGGGGAUCUGGGGCAUGGGCGGUGUAGGGAAGACAACAAUAGCAAGAGCCAUUUUUGACACUUUAUCUCAUCAAUUUGAAGCUGCUUGUUUCCUUGCGGAUAUUAAAGAAAACGAAAAACUGCUUUCUUUGCAAAAUACCCUUCUCUCUGAAUUGUUAAGAAGAAAAGAUGAUUACGUCAAUAAUAAGCUUGAUGGGAAGCGGAUGAUUCCAGACAGACUUUGCUCUAAGAAGGUGCUAAUUGUGCUUGAUGAUAUAGGCCAUAAAGAUCAUUUAGAGUAUUUAGCAGGUGAUAUUGGUUGGUUUGGUAAUGGCAGUAGGGUUGUUGUAACAACUAGAGACAAACAUUUGAUAGGGAAGGAUGAUGCAAUAUAUGAGGUGGCUGCACUACCUGAUCAUGAAUCCAUUCAAUUGUUUUAUCAACAUGCUUUCAAAAAAGAAGAUCCAGAUGAGUGUUUUAAGGAGCUUUCAUUGGAGGUAGUAAAUCAUGCUAAAGGCCUUCCUUUAGCCCUCAAAGUGUGGGGUUCUUUGCUGCAUAACCUAGGCUUAACUGAAUGGAAAAGUGCUAUAGAGCACAUGAAAAUUAAUUCUAAUUCAGAAAUUGUUGAAAAGCUCAAAAUCAGUUAUGAUGGAUUAGAGCCUAUCCAACAAGAGAUGUUUCUAGAUGUAGCAUGCUUCUUGCGAGGGAAAUAUAAAGGUUACGCCAUGCAAAUUCUUGAGAGUUGUCAUUCUGGAGUUGAAUACGGAUUGCGUGUCUUAAUUGACAAAUCUCUUAUAUUUAUCUCUGAAAAAGGUGAGUUUCAAAUGCACGACUUAAUACAAGAAAUGGGUAAAUAUAUAGUGAACUUGCAAAAGAAUCCGGGAGAACGCAGCAGAUUAUGGCUCGUCAAGGAUUUCGAAGAAGUGAUGAUCAACAAUACAGCAAGUAAGCUAAACAAUGUAUUACUAGUAUUUACUUCUAAUUUUCAUAUUCAAAAAAUAUAUAGGGCAGUCAAUUCCAAUUAUUUGUUCAUCUUGCUUCAUACUCUUGCAGGUACGGCAUUUUAGUUGUUCCCUUUAGUUAGUAGGAGAAGCAAAAGUAAUAUUAAUUGCCUAAUUAGUAAAAAUAUAAGACAUUAAUUGCCUAAUUCGUUAAGUAGACUCUUUAAUUUACAUUGCCUAAUUCGUUUUUCUUAUAUUAUUAAGCGAUGGAUUAGUCUAGUGGUGAUCCAAUGUCAUUCUUUGGAUUAACUUGAAAAUUUUAUGACAUUUUAUUACAUAAUAUCUCAAUCAGAGAUUCAUUUUACCAUUAUUUUUUUUUAUGGAAAGUUACAAUUUAUUGGUACUGUUUCAAUUGCAAUUACCUUCUAUCACAACAUGAAAAGCUUAUAGACUUGACUUUAAUGAACUUUUAAGAAAAAUAUAAUAAUAGAAAAUAAAACUAUAUAAUUAGUUGCAAAAAGUAUUUUUCUGAAGUAACAUAAGUAUUUCUUAAAAAGAAUCUACUCCCUCUGUUUCAAAUUCGAUGAUGUACUUUCCUUUUUAGUCUCUUCCAAAAUAAAUGACACAUUUCUAAAUUUGAAAAUAAUUUAACUUUAAACUCUUCAUUUUACCCAUUUUACCCUUAAUGAGAAGCUUUUAUAACCACACAAAUGUCAUGGCCCCACAAAGCUUUUAUCCCUUAAGCUUUUAAAAUCACAAGUUUUAAAAGUCUUCUUUUUUUUCUUAAACUCCGUGCCGAGUCAAACUACCUCAUCUAAAUUGAAACAGAGGGAGUAAUUAAUAUUGUAUCUUAAACUUAGGCAUUGCAAGAAGUGAGAAAGUAGUCAUUUUAGCAAGCGGAUUUUAUACGACAUUUGAAAUUAUACUUUGUAGACUAAUGAUCUUCUUAUCAGGGGACCAUGGCAAUGGAAGCAAUCUUUCUUCCUUAUUUCGAUUUUGAUACAUUACGCUUUAGCAAAGAGGCCAUGAAAAAUAUGAAAAGGCUUAGGAUAUUAAACAUAGGGAAGUGGCAGACCGGUGAUGGUUCCAUUGAUUAUCUGCCCAACAACUUGCGUUGUUUUGUCUGGACUAAGUAUCCUUGGGAGUCAUUGCCAUCUACAUUUGAACCCAAAAUGCUUGUUCACCUUGAACUCCAGAGCAGUUCACUGUGUUCUUUAUGGAUGGAAACAAAGGUACAACAGUUUGAAUUCUAUUUUAUUGCCAUUUAUUUUUUUCUCUAACUAUCUUUGUCCUUUAAUUUAGUGAUAAUGAACAAAUAUUAUUGCUUUUGUCAAGUAUUAUUUGAGGUACUUCCUUUUUUUAGCUAGAAUUAUGAUGCAUGUCUUUAAAUGAACAGAAAUUAGUCCCUCCGGUCCAUAAUAAGUGAUUUUUUUGCCUUUUUAUUUUGGUCCAAAAUAAGUGACCUUUUACAUAAUCAAGAAGAUAUUAAUUUCAAUUUUCCAAACUUUGCCCUUUUUUACAAAUCUCAAUAUGUCAGGUUAACAAUAUGCUAAUUUUAAUUAAAAGUAAUUUCGUCAAAAUACUUUUUUUUAGGAGUUAUUAUUUUCUUAAGGGGUGUGCCAAUAGCCAAAAUGUCACUUAUUAUGGACCAGAGGGAGUAUUAAUUAAUAAGCUCAAAUUAAUGUAUUUCCAUCUCAAAAGAAAUUAUUGUAUUUUAUAUUAUUUGGGAUUGUUCUCACUAUUAUUGUAAGAUAUUUAUGUCCUUUUUUUUUCCAAAUCUUCCCAUCAUCAUUUUAACUAAGAAGCUCAAUUUAAGAACUCAUUCAAUUAUUUCUCAUAGUAAGAUUAGAUUCAUAUGAAUUUCAUCCUAGAUUGCAUACAAUGGGAUGGAAGGAAUACUUAUUAGUAAAACAAAAAGAGUUCAUACAUUGCUUCCGGAUUUAACAUUUGGGUUUCCCCAUUUUAUAUUACACUUUUUAAAAGUGAGAAACACUUUUCUCUUUGCUACCUUUUUUUCAAUCAUGUUAAAUUAUAGUUAGCAAUAUUUUUAUUUAUAAUCUACUUUUAUUCAGUUUCUUAACAAGUAAUUUUCCAUAUAUAAAAAAUAAAUUUCUGAUUCCAUACAAAAUACUGAGUUGGCCCUCAUAAUUCAAAUGCUAUCAUUCAUCUGUUGUCGAGGGAGUAAUAAAUGGAGUACUUUUUGGGAACGCUAGCAACAAGUAAUUAAGAAUUCAAGAAAACAGAGGUCAUUUGAUGCCCACAAAUACAAAUGAAAAAAUAAAACAGUUUCUAAAUUCAUAGUCUCAUAGAUAGCCCCACUAAUCAAAUAUUUUAUUAUUGGAAUCCUGCGGAGCAACAAAAUAGGUUCUUUCUUUUUUCUCAUUCUGUUUGCGUUCUGAACAGCAUUUGCCGUCUCUACGGACGAUAGAUCUCAGCUACUCUAAAAGCUUGAUACGAACACCAGAUUUCAAGGGAAUGCCAAAUUUGGAGUAUUUGAAUUUGGAGGAAUGUAGUAAUCUUGAUGAGGUUCACCAUUCGCUGGGGUGUUGUAGAAAACUCAUUCGGUUAGAUUUGAGUUAUUGUGAAAGCCUUGAGAGGUUUCCAUGUGUUAACGUGGAAUCUCUUGAAUAUCUGACUGUAAAUGAUUGCUAUAGUUUAGAGACAUUUCCAGAAAUUCACGGGAGAAUGAAGCCGAAGAUAGAGAUUCACAUGCUAGGCUCUGGGAUAAGGGAACUACCAUCCUCUUUUUUUCAGUACCAAACUCAUAUUACCGAGCUAGAUUUGAGCGGUAUGGAAAACCUUGUAGCUCUUCCAAGCAGCAUCUCUAGGUUGAAAAGUUUGGUUAUUUUAUGUGUGUUGGGUUGCUCAAAACUUGAAAGCUUGCCAGAAGAGAUCGGGGAUUUAGAAAACUUGGAGAGGCUUGAUGCCACCUUUACCCUAAUAUCACGACCUCCGUCUUCCAUCGUACGCUUGAACAAACUUAGAGUCUUGGAUUUUGGAUUCUGCAAGGAUGGAAUGUACUUUGAGUUCCCUCCAGUGGCUGAAGGAUUAUGCUCGUUGGAAUAUCUGAAUCUCAGUAACUGCAAUCUAACAGAUGGAGGACUUCCGGAAGAUAUUGGAUCCUUAUCCUCUUUGAAAUAUUUGGAUCUCACAGGAAAUAAUUUUGAGCAUUUGCCUCAAAGCAUAGCCCAACUUGGUGCUCUUCGAAUCUUGGACUUAACAGAGUGCGAGAGGCUUACACAACUACCAGAACUUCCACCAGAAUUAAAUGAAUUGUAUGUAGAUUGUCAUAUGGCUCUGAAAAGUAUCCAUGAUUUAGUAUCAAAGAGAAAGAAACUACAGAGGGUGAAAUUCUUGCCUCUGUAUGGUAAGGAUGAUGCACAUAAUGAUUCUAUAUAUAAUUUGUUUGCACAUGCCCUGUUUCAGAAUAUCUCUGCUUCAUAUUCCUUGUCCGAAAAUGUACUUACCAUUUGGCAUCCUCACAAGAAGAUCCCAAGUUGGUUCCUCUAUCAGGGAACGGAUCGUAGAGUAUCAGUGAAUUUGCCUGAAAAUUGGUAUAUACCUGAUAAAUUCUUGGGAUUUGCUGGAUGUUACAAUGGCAGCUUAAUUGACACCACAGCUCAAUUGAUUCCCAAAUGUGAUGACGGGAUGUCGUGCAUGACCCAGAAACUUGCUCAAAUUUGCAUGACCCAUUCAAAUCUUGAUAAAGAAUAUAAUAUACAUUUUUUCUUUGUACCUUUUGCUGGCUUAUGGGAUACGUCUAAGGCAGAUGGACAAACACCAAAUGACUAUGGGCUUAUUAGGCUAUCUUUUUCUGGAGAAAUGAAGAAGUAUGGACUUCAUUUGUUGUAUAAAGAAGAACCUGAGGUUGAGGCCUUGUUACAAAUUAGGGAAAAUAACAAUGAACCAACAGAAUAUCGCAUUGAGAUAAGGAGUAGCAGAUCUGACAAUAGUGAACACCAUGACUCCGUGACAGAUGAAGCCAGUUGCUGUCGCAUACUGUAAUAACAUUAGAAACAAAGGUCACAUUCUAAUGAAAGUAAGUUGCAAGUUUGGAAGCCCUUUGCUCUAAAGUCGGUGGCAUUGCCUUUGAAGAGCAUAUGUUUCCUUUGUUUGUAGCAGAACAACUAGACUCUUGGCCUGAGAAAGAGAUUCGCGAGAGAACUUACUUGGGUAUGCAAUAAUCCAUUCUUUUUAAAUCUACACAUAUCUAUACUAUAUACUGGUCUUAUUAGUAAAGGUGACGUGACACCUCUCUUAAACCAGAAUAGUAGUCUUGUGAAAUGAUAUCACAUCUUCGCCUUUGCUGACAGGUAGACUUUCAAAAACCAAUUCAGAUGAAUGUUCGCGAAGCAAGAAAGCUGUGCCGAAAUGGAUGGAUGAAAGAAGCCUUGGAACUGUUCUUCCUUUGGGAUGUAGAGCUCAACUAGUCUUGUAUUCUCUCCGUCAGAAACUGAUGUUCACCUUUUCACUUGCAAAAUAAUUUUCAUCUUGGAAAAACCAGAAGUUUCUUACACACUACAUAACUUUAAAUGUUGCUUGUCGUAAUGAUCAUGCUCUAACUUUAGCAAUACACUUUUGCAGGGCCAUUUUCAUAUUUGUACCAAGUUAAAUGUGGAGGUUCAGUUUAGUAUAGAGGGAGUAAAACAUCUUCUUAAAUAUUGUGUUUUUUUUCUUCAUAAAAAGUCAUGAAAAGGAAAAAUCUGUUUCAUUUGGAACUUCAAUCGCAGAAGUACCAGAUUAAUCAACUUAAUAUAUCAUGAAAAUAGCAGAAAUCAGAAAUUUCAAAAAACACUUGCAACAAACAUGCAUGUUUCCUAGGAAAGCUUUCCAAAACUUAAAAAACCUUGCAACAAAGUAUGCUUUCUUUACUUGUGUUUGUGCUAUUCUUUUCUGACAAAAUCGAUGUAUAUGAAGGUGUUGAGAUACGUUGGAGUCGUGGAUGGUGUCAAUGGAAAAGCGACUGUCAAGCUGCAAAAAUACAAUAAUGAACGCCCAUUUGCACAACUCUCAGGAUCGGAUAACAUAAUUACAUUUACAAUUGAAAGACAUGCGAAGAACCAUUAGUAGUGUGUGGUCCAGUUGCUGGAGCUGAAGUGACUGCUUGUGGAGUAUGCUGUGACAUCUGGCUGACUUGCAUCAACUAUUGGUGCUCCAUCUUAAUUCAUUUACUGCAAGGCAGUGAAGGGCAGUCCGGUGCACUAAGCUCCCGCUAUAUGGGGGUCCGCGGAAGGGCCGAAUCACAAGGGUCUAUAGUACACCGUCUUACUCUGCAUUUCUGCAACAUGUUAUUUUCACUGUUCGAACCCGUGACCUCCUGGUCAUAUGGCAACAACUUUACCAGUUACGCCAAGGCUCCCCUUCAAUUACUGCAAGCCAGUAUUUUGCUUUUUUUUUUUUUUUUUUUUUUUUUAUUACCAAGUUUUAGACUUUGUUGUAUGAUUUUCAUGUGGAAAGAUGUAUUUGGUGUUAAGGUUGUAGUUCAAUUAUUAACUUCCCUUUUUAUUACCAAGUUUCAGACGUUUGAUGUGCCACACUGUAGUCUCUAUGCUUUACAUGGUGUUGCCGUUUAAGCAACAACAUGCACGGCUCACUCUGUGGCUUGUCUCUUCUCUUCUUCUAUAGGAUAGGAUUUUUUUGUAGCUUGCUUAUUUGUAAAUUGCAACUCUGAUAUUGAUUCAAGCCUGCUCCAAAGUCAGCAGCGAGGUCAGCUCCAUCUCCUCUUUCCUUUGUCUUUUUUACUGUUCAUCCUUGACCUUCUUUCCGAACUCGUUAACACCGGAACACCCGCCAUGAAGGUCACUCAAAAGUAACCUACUCGAGCUUCGCCCUUUGUAUAUAAGUUGUAUUUUGGUUGAAAUCAGUUAGUGAAGCAGAUUGGUGAUGUAUGUUGAUGCAUCAUCAACGACUAUAUAGUGUUCAUAUAGCCGACUAUAAGUCUGUAACUCUCUUGAGAUUGAGGCGUAAUUAUUGUUAUUUGUACCUAAAAAUAAGGUGUACAUUUGGUUCUUUUGAUUUGGUUGUUUGUUUUUUAAUUUUGAAAGAAAAUAAAUCCAAUUCGAAGUAAAAUAGAUUUGGUUUGGUUCAAUUUUCUUUUUUGUUCGAAUUGAUUUUUUGGGUUUUCAAUUAUCAAGCAAAAUAAUAUUUAUAGAAAAACCAUAAAAGGAGUUCAUUUUUGUGAAACAUGAAAUAAAAAAUUUACAACUGAAACUAUUGCCAUUUUACAUAGAAUUAAGUAGACAUAGUAUUUGAACUUUGGAGCAAUAAUUCUAUUCAACUGGGCAUAUUGUUUUCUUUGUUUCUUCAUCGGCUUGUACUUUUAGCUGCCCAUUGUGUACAUCUUAUAGUGGACUUUUGGUUUCCUAAUACAUUCUAUUACAUACAGUUCAAAGAAAACUCAAUAAACAAUAAUUCUAAUCAACUGGAGAAAGAGAUUAAGAAGCUUUACAGAAAUUUCCUACUACUUACUUCUAUUAAUAUUCAAUAAAAAUGUACCACAUAUAAUGCUAUAUAGAUAUAUAUAUAUCAGUUGACUAGAUCCAAUAGCAAUAGUUUUAUUCAACUGGAGUAGAGCCCAUCGUCUUAGAAGCUUUCAUAUUUGAAGUGAUACUUGCUUAUUCUUCUCUGCUGUAUGUAAUAUUUUUCUGAAAUAUCAUCAGCUAUUCAGCUGAUCUCUUAACACGACCACAAUCUAUCCACACAGUUUUUUUUCAUAUCAACCAAUAAACUGAAUCCAUGGCAUCAUCUUCUUCUUUCGCGAGUAAUUCACAGUACUGUCCUGGAUGGAAGUACGAUGUUUUCCUAAGUUUUAGAGGUGAAGAUACUCGCAAAACGUUUACUGGGCACUUAUAUGAAGGCUUGAGAAACAGGGGAAUAUUCACCUUUCAAGACGCCAAAAGGCUAGAGCAUGGCGCAUCAAUAUCAGAAGAACUUUGUAAAGCUAUCGAAGAGUCUCAAGUUGCCGUCAUCAUUUUCUCAAAAAAUUAUGCUACAUCGAGGUGGUGCUUGGAUGAACUAGUGAAGAUCAUGGAAUGCAAGACUAAAUUUGAACAAACUGUCAUACCGGUCUUCUAUGAUGUGGAUCCAUCAAUAAUUCGAUACCAAAAGCAGAGCUUUGCUGAAGCCUUUUACAAACAUGAAUCAAAGUUUAAGGAUGAUGUUGAGGGAUUGCAGAAGGUAUAAAGAUGGAGGAAUGCUUUAACUGAAGCGGCAAAUCUCAAAGGCUGUGAUAUUCGUGACAGGUGAGUUAAAAACACUUUAGCUUGAACAGAGGGAAUACUUUGCAUUCAAAUUUGGAUGCUUCUAUGAAGACUAGCUACACAUAUUCUAUACCUCAAAAAUGAGUUAAACAGAACCCUUAAAUAAUUUUUUCAUAUUUUCUAAAAGAAGAUUGAUGGUUGAUUAUAUAUGCUUCUAUAAGUAAGAAGACAUAGCUUAUCAGUUUAAUUACUCAAUUAUAUUGUUACGUAGAUACUAUUUUGAUUGGUUCUUCAAGAGUUUGAUUUAUGUGUCCUUUUUAUCAUAAUUAUGCGCUAUACGGUGUGAAACACUUCUUGUUAUUGACUUUCUUACCUGUAUAUAUCAACAAUGUUUUUAUUUUUUGUAGGAUUGAAUCAGACUGCGUUCAGCAGAUCGUUGACCAAAUUUCCAAGUUAUGCAAGUUUUCUUUAUCUUAUUUGCAAGAUAUUGUGGGAAUAAAUCCACAUUUAGAGGAAGUAAAAUCCCUACUACAGAUAGAAAUCAAUGAUGUUCGGCUUGUGGGGAUCUGGGGCAUGGGAGGAGUUGGUAAAACGACAAUAACAAGAGCCAUUUUUGAUACACUCUCGUAUCAAUUUGAAGUUACUUGCUUCCUUGCGGAUGUUAAAGAAAACAAUUGUGGAAUGCAUUCUUUGCAAAAUAUCGUUCUUUCAGAACUGUUAAGGGAAAACGCUAAUUACGUGAAUAAUAAGGAGGACGGAAAGCACUUGAUGGCUCGUAGACUUCGUUCUAAGAAGGUUUUAGUUGUGCUUGAUGACAUAGAUCACACAGACCAUUUGGAGUACCUAGCAGGGGAUCUUGGUUGGUUCGGCAAUGGCAGUAGAAUUAUUGCAACAACUAGAGACAAGCAUUUGAUAGGGAAGAAGGAUGCAUUAUAUGAAGUGACUACACUAGCUGACCGUGAAGCUAUUCGAUUGUUCAAUCGAUAUGCUUUUAAGGAAGAAGUUCCAGAUGUGUGUUUUGAGAAGCUAACAUUGGAAGUAGUAAGUCAUGCUAAAGGCCUUCCUUUAGCGCUGAAAGUGUGGGGUUCUUUCUUACAUAAGAGGGAUAUAAAAGAGUGGAGAAGUGCUAUACUGCAAAUGAAAAAAUACUCCAAUUCAGAAAUUGUUGACAAGCUCAAAAUUAGUUAUGAUGGAUUAGAGCCCAUGGAGCAGGCGAUAUUUUUAGAUAUAGCAUGCUUCUUACGAGGGACAGAAAAGGAUGAGAUCAUACAGAUUCUUGAGAGCUGUGAUUUUAGAGCUGAUAUCGGAUUGCGUGUCCUAAUUGACAAAUCUCUUGUGUUCAUCUCCGAAAAAGAUACGAUUGAAAUGCAUGACAUAAUACAAGAUAUGGGUAAAUAUGUAGUGAACAUGCAAAAGGAUCCGGGAGAACGUAGCAGACUAUGGCUCGCUAAAGAUUUCGAAGAAGUGAUGACCAAUAAUACGGUAAGUAGGCUAAACAAUGCAAUAAUAUUCAAUUUCUAGUUUUUAUAUUCCAAAAAUAUAUAGGGUGAUUUCCAAAUGUAUGUUCCUCUUGUUUCAUAUUCUCGCACAUUAGUCAUUUUAGUUGUUUACUUUAGUAGGAGAAGCAAAAGUAACAUUAAUUGCCUAACACUGCCUGAUUCGUCAAGUAGCCACUUUGAUUAACACUGCAUAAUAUAUUUUUUUUAUGCUAUUAAGCCAUAGUAGUCUAGUAGCCAUUUAAUCUGUUUGAUCCAAUUUCAUUCUUUGGAUUAACUUGAUAAGUGUAUGAUAUUUUAAUAUUUUAUGACUGAUUGAUUAUUUUUUAUUUUAAAUAACUUCAAGUGCAAUAUUAAAUAGUACAAACCAUGAUGAAAUUUGGCAACUGGAGGAGUGAGAAAGUAGUCAUAUUGGCAAAGCGAAUUUUAUAUGACAUUUGAAGUUAUACUUUGUGGACUAAAAAUCUUUUUACCAGGGGACCAAGGCAAUGGAAGCAAUCUGGUUUCAUUAUUCUCAACGACUAUACUUCAGCAAAGAGGCCAUGAAAAAUAUGAAAAGGCUUAGGAUAUUCUACAUACGUGCGUACUUGAAUUCGUGGAUCCGUGAUGACUUCAAUUGCCAUGAUGGCCCCAUUGAGUACCUGUCUAACAACUUGCGUUGGUUUGUCUGGGAUCACUAUCCUUGGGAUUCAUUGUCAAUUAAUUUUGAACCUAAAAGGCUUGUUCAUCUUCAAUUCUGGCGCAGUUCAGUGCAUCAUUUAUGGACAGGGAUAAAGGUACAAUAGCUGAAUUAUUUAUUUUUUUCCUCUAACGUUUUCCUUUAAUUCAGUGAUAUUGACCAUAUAUUAUUGCUUUUGUCCUGUUUUAUUUGAGUUACUUACUAUUUUGGCUUGUCCUAGAAUUGUGAUGCAUGUCCUUAAAUGAAAAAAAAUUGUUAAUUCCAAAUGCUCAAAUUAAUGUGUUAUACAUAUAUUAUUCCUUAUGUAAUGUUUCUGCAACCUUUCUAUAUUAUCCUAAAUUGUAUAUUGUGUAAGUUUGCAUACAUUGCUUCUGAAUUUAACACUUUGUUUUCCCAUUUUAUAUUACACUUCUUGAAAGAGUCAUACAUUUUUCUAUUUGGCUACAAUAUUUUUCAAUCAUGUCUAAAUAAAUUUAUCAGUACUUUUAUUUAUAAUACACUUUUAUUUAGUUACUAAACAUAUAAUUUCCAUAUUAAGAUUAAAAUAUUAAUUUCUAAUUUCACACAAAAUAAUGUGUUGACCCUCAUGAUCCAAAUGUAAUCGUUCAUUAUUGGUCUUGGGAGUAAAUCUUUUACUUAAUACUUUUUAGGAACACUAGCAACAAUAAUUAAAAUUCAAGAGAACAGAGGUCAUUUGGGAAGAAAAAAAAAAGAACGAAAUAGUUUCUUGAUUCAUAGAUAGCCCACUACCAUAUUGAUAUGAUAAUUCUUUUAUCCGUCUGUUCUUGUGUUUGCUGUCUCUCAUUCUUUUUGUGUUCUGAAUAGCAUUUGCCGUAUCUGCGAAAGCUAGAUCUCAGGGAAUCUGAAAGCCUGAUGCGAACACCAGAUUUUACGGGGAUGCCAAAUUUGGAGUAUUUGAAUUUGAAGAAAUGUAGUAAUCUUGAAGAGGUUCAUUAUUCCCUGGGAUGUUGCAGCAAACUCAUUCGGUUAGAUUUGGAUAGUUGUCGUCGCCUUAAGAGGUUUCCAUGUGUUAACAUGGAAUCUCUUGAAUAUCUGGGACUAUAUUGUUGCUAUAGUUUAGAGAAAUUUCCAGAAAUCCUAGGAAGAAUGAAGCUGGAGUUAAAGCUUUACAUGCAAUACUCUGGGAUAAGAGAACUACCAUCAUCUAUUACUCAGUGCCAAACUCACAUUACCAAGCUAAAUUUGAGCAAUUUAAGAGACAUUGCAACUCUUCCAAGUAGCAUUCGCAUGUUGAAAAGCUUAGUGGAGCUAGAUGUGUCGGAUUGCUCAAAACUUGAAAUCUUGCCAGAAGAGAUAGGGGAUUUAGAAAACUUGGAGAAGCUUGAUGCUGCACGUACUUUAAUUUCACGGCCUCCCUCUUCCAUUGUAUGCUUGAACAAACUUAAAUUGUUGUCUUUUGAUCAAAGAGAAUCAAAAGAAGGCCAAGUCGUGUAUUUUGUGUUCCCUCCGGUGGCUGAAGGGUUACACUCAUUGGAAAUUUUGCAUCUCAGUGACUGCAAUCUAAUAGAUGGAGGACUUCCAGAAGACAUUGGAUGCUUAUCCUCUUUGAAAAAGUUGUAUCUCGGUUACAAUGAUUUUGAGCAUUUGCCUCAAAGCAUAGCCCAACUUGGUGCUCUUCAAUUCUUGUACUUAUCAGGUUGCAGUUUGCUUAAAGAGUUGCCAGAUUUCAUGGGGAUGCCAAAUUUGGAGAAGUUGGAGCUGUCAUAUUGUGAGAAUCUUGAAGAGGUUCAUCAUUCCCUAGGAUUUUUUAAAAAUCUCCGUAAAUUAUCAUUGGAUACUUGUGAACGGCUGGUCUGUGCAUUGAUUCUCUUGAAUUUCUGUGGAUACGGGGUUGCUCUAGUUUAGAAAAAUUUCCAGAAAUCCAUGGAAGCAUAAACUCUGAGUUAGAGAUUCACAUGCAAGGCAAUGUGAUAAGAAAUCUAGAUUUGAGAGGUCUAGAAAACCUUGUAACACUUCCGAGCUGCAUUUGUAAGUUUAAAAGCUUGGUGAAGCUAGAUGUGUCAGAUUGCUCAAAACUUGAAAUCUUGCCAGAAGAGAUAGGGGAUUUAGAAAACUUGGAGUGGCUUGAUGCCAGAGAUACUAUAAUCUCACAACCUCCGCCUUCCAUUAUCCUAUUGAACAAGCUUAAAUUCUUGAGUUUUGCAAAACAAAAAUCACAACUAGGCGUCGAAGAUGAAGUGUACUUUGUGUUCCCUCCGGUGGCUCAAGGAUUACGCUCAUUGGAAAUUCUGAAUCUCAGUUACUGCAAUCUAAUAGAUGGAGGACUUCCGGAAGACAUUGGAUGCUUAUCCGCUUUGAAAGAGUUGAAUCUCAGUGGAAAUAAUUUUGAGCAUUUGCCUCGAAGUAUAGCCCAACUUGGUGCUCUUCGAUCCUUGGACUUAACAGAGUGCACGAGUCUUACACAGCUUCCAGAACUUCCACCAGAAUUAGAUGCAUUGCGUGCAGAUUGUCAUAUGGCUCUGAAAAGUAUUCAUAAUAUAGCAACCAAGAAGAAGAAAUUACAGCGGGUGACAUUCAAACCACUGUAUGAUAACGAUGAUACGUACAAUGAUUCAAUCUGUAAUUUGUUUACUAUUGUACAUUCUGAGAAGAAGGUCCCAAGUUGGUUCCAUUAUCAGGGAACUGAUAGAACUAUAUCUGUCAAUUUGCCUGAAAAUUGGUACAUAUGGGAUAACUUCUUGGGAUUUGUUGUAUGUUACUUUGGCAGCGUAGUUGAAACCAUAGCUCAAUUGAUUCCCUUAGGUGAUGUUGGGAUAUUGUCGAUGACCCAGAAACUUGCCUCACACGACUAUUCAAGAUGUGAAAUGAAAUCGAUGAUUCAUUUUUUCUUAGUAGCUCUUGCUGGCUUAUGGGAUACAUCUAAGGCAAAUGGAAAAACACCAAAUGACUAUGGUCUUAUUAGGCUAUCUUUUUCUGGAGAAAUGAAGGAGUAUGGAUUCCGUUUGUUGUAUAAAGAUGAACCUGAGCUUGAGGCGUUGUUACAAAUGAGGGAAAAUAACAAUGAGCCAACAGAACAUUGCAUUGGGAUAAGGAGGAGCAGAUAUGACAAUAGUGAACACCAUGACUCCGUGACCAAUGAAGCCAGUUCCUCGUCUUGUAAGAAACAUCGAAAUACCGUGUGAUUCAAAGCCCAGCUAGUUUUGGUUUUAGUUGUAUGAAAAAGAUGGGUUUGAGUCGAGGACGAUGAGGUUGCAGUUGAGUUCUGGCGAGAUUUUGAGGUUCUCGGUUAGUCGCGGCUAAGAAAAGUGUAAACCCAGAUUCAUUUUUUGAAAAGGCUUCUAAAGGUCCAUUGCUCACCUAUUAUCUUUUCUGCACUCAUCCUUCAAAUAUAGAAGUGUUCUUAGCGAAUUUGUUUGAAUUUUCAUGUCAUCUAUGUAAUCUAUUGAGAUUUCAUGAGCUUUUGUCAUGUUUCAGUUAUCAUUUAUUGAGAUGAAUUAUUUAUUAGUAUUAAUAAGUUUUUCUAGUUUCAUUGAUAGUCCCUACUAGUGGGAUUUUACUAGGUCGUUGUUGUUGUUGUUGUUGUUGUUAUUGUUGUUGUUGUUGUAGCAGUAGUUUCAUUGAUAGGUUGAAAUAUGACGUUUUUGUUUGUUUGAGCUAAAAACGAAAAGAGAUUUUGACUUAUUGCUAGUGGUCUAUGGGAUCUGAUUUAGUUCGUUGGGUGUAGGUUUGUAAAAAUAAUACGGGCUAGCCAGUUUUCGGACUGGUCAUUCAAAAAUAGCCAGCGUUUGCCAAGUCAUUAAAAAAUAGCCACUAUUUUGCUGCAACAGAGACCGGUCCAGCAUAAUAUACUGGAGUUCGAUGCACCUGUGUAUGAACUUCCAGCAUAUUAUGCUGGAACUCCAACACGCAGAAAGUUCCAGCAUAAUAUACUGGAGAUUCGAGCACCUGUGUAUGAACUUCCAGCAUAUUAUGCUGAACCAGUGUACUUUGCUGGAACUCUAGUAUAAUAUACUGGAGUUCUAGUAUACUUAUGCUGGAACUCUAGUAUGAGUUCCAGCAUAAGUAUACUGGAACUCCAGUAUAUUAUGCUGGAGUAUUUUUCAGAUUUUGAACAGUGUUUUCGUUCAGAUUUAUCUUUACAUGAAAAAUGGCUAAAUUUUAAUUACUUUUGAAACUGUGGCUAUUUUUGAAUAACCACUUGUAAAUUUGACUAUUUUUAAAUUUCUCUCUGUAGGUUUAUACUACAAGAGAAUGGGUCUAUUACCUUGAUUUUGCUUAUUUGGCCACUUUCUGAAAUAACAAAUUUGUUUGAACUCAUAAUUUCCAACGUAGUACUUCAAGAGCCAUGGAUUCUGUUUGAUUUGGCCUUAAUUUCUGUUUGAUCAGUAUCUGUUUAUACCUUACUUGAACCAAUAAAGCUACUGUGUGGCGUGGAUAUAAAAGGAUGUGAAAGGAGCAUGAAUGGCUAUUUGAUAAACAUAUGUACAAGUUAAGUGAAUUGGUUGGAGGUUUAUUCCUUCCAUUUUUGUUUGAUCUACUACUAUACUUAUGAACACAUGUUUUUGUAUUGUGAAAUUUAUGGAGUUUGUCUCCUUACUGUUUGUUUCAAUAUAGUCAUUGAGUUGGUUUCUGGGUUAAUUAGCAAUUGGAGUACUCGGAUGCUUAAACCAUUUUAUCCCAAGGCUACAUGUUAAGAAAGGUUUGUUAAGUUGGACAAGUUGUUUGGUUUAGUUGGCGUAGAAACAAGAACUUUUGAUAGUUAAUUUGAAUUUGUCACGGCCCAAAAUCCCUCCGAAGGAGUCGUGAUGUCACCUAAUCUCUAAAACUAGGUAAGCAACUAGGUAAGCAUAACACAUAUCAAAAUGAUAACAGGUUUUACUAAACAGGUAUUAAACAUGGACCGGAAAUUUCUAAAUAAGCCAAUAGUCUCAACAUCAUACAUUCUCCCAAACCGAUAGUACAAGUCAUAAGCCUUUCUAGAAGUAAUUAACAUAAUGAAUACAUCAUUGUUCUAGAGUAAUAGGAAACAAUGGAAAUAAAUACAAUAGAAGGUGACUUCGGGGCCUGCGAAUGUCGAACAGGUAUACUUUGAAGUCUCUAGCAGCGUAGACAUAAGUCUUCAACCAACUCAAUCAUAAGUACCUGAAUCUGUAUAGAAAAAUAUGCAGAAGUGUAGCAUGAGUACACCACAGCCGGUACUCAGUAAGUAUCAAGACUAUCAUCGGUGGAAUAGUGACGAGGUACCGUCAAGACACUCACUAGUCAAAUAACAUAUGCAAUAUAGCAGCAUAACAAUAAUAAUGAAAAACAUGAAGCAGGAAAUGGCAACAAAAAUCAACCACGGAAAUAAAAAACAAAGCAAUAAUAAUUCCGUAGAGUAUCAAUCAAAAACAAAUUAGGAACACGAGUACAACCAAUUAAUCAAGUCUUUCAAAUUCAGGUUUUUCACAACAAGGUCACUCUGUGGUAUCUUAUCUCAUAAUCACAAAUCACGAGUCCCAACCCACUAUCAUAUUCUCACGGCACCUCGUGCCCACAUCUCAUAUCACUUUCGCGCGAAAAAAUCCACAUGCUACCAUGUACUUUAUAUCCGUGUCCAAUGCUAAUAAAAAAAUGUUCGAAGGAGCAUUUUAUUUCCAAUAAAGUAAAAUUUCAAUUUUUGAAUCAAGUAGAAAAGCAACAAGGAAAUGAGUUUAAAUAAAGUAUCGGAUAAGCUACUGAUUUGAAUAUAGAAUUUAAUAAAUUAAACAUAAUAGCAAUUUCUUUUUAAGUAAAGUAGAAACACUAGAUAGGGUAAUGAGAUUAAGUUGAGAAAUCAAUUAAAGUGAAAUAGACGACUAUUAAAAAUAGUAAAGUACCGAAUGAAAAACGAGUCUUAACUUAAGAGUCAUAGAAGGUAAGGAUGUCGCUAAUUCGUUUAUUUACAACCGUUAUAUUACUAACAACUCAGCAGGAUAUGAGGUAAUGACUCAACGUAGUAAAUUCAUCUUGAAAAUCAAUUCACCAAAAUAGUAGUAUUAGGAAAAGAAUUCAACAAAUGACGGCAAGGCAAUGAAUUAAUGAAAACAACUCAAUCUUUAGAGUCUCACACGAAAGAAUCGAAGCCAAUUCAAUACAACAAGGAAUACAAAAUACAUAAAUUGUUGCGGCGUGCAAUCCGAUCCCAUCGUACAAUACUAUUCACCCUUAUUCCACCAUGUAAAUAUCAAUAAUAAUAAAUAAAUAUAUGUUGCGGCGCGCAACCUGAUCCCACCAUAUAAUCAGAGUCAAUAUCAUAAUUCACCCUUAUUUCACUAUAUCAAUUCACCCUUCUUUCACCUGUUGCGGCAUGCAACCCGAUCCCACCGUACAAUAUCAAUAUCAUACUUCACCCUUAUUUCACCAUAACAAUUCACCCUUAUUUCACAUGUUGCGGCAUGCAACCCGAACCCACCGUACAAUAUCAUAAUAGUAAACAAAAUAUGUUGCGGCGCGCAACCCGAUCCCACCAUACAAUAUUGAUAUCAUAAUUCACCCUUAUUUCACCAUAACAAUUCACCCUUUUUCACCUGUUGCAGUGUGCAACCCGAUCCCACCGUACAAUAUCAAUAUCAUAAUUCACCCUUAUUUAACCAUAACAAUUCACCUUUAUUUCACAUGUUGCGGCGUGCAACCCCAUCCCACCAUACAAUAAUUUAAAUCAACAACAACAAUUAAAUAAUUCAGUUUACAGAAAUUUCUACAAUCAAGGGUAUGAGUACACGGCAAUAAAGGAACCACGUAAAAAUCAAGGGAAUACAACAAACUUUACAAAAAUGACAUAACAAGUAAGGCACAUGAUAACUAAGAUGUGCAAUCAUAACUAGGGAUUAUUUUAGGAAGAUUUUCACAACUACGCAUGUCUCCAGUAAUUGAAAUGCUAUAAAGGAAUGAUCCUAAAAGCUAUAAUAACACUGACCUAUACCCACUAGAUAAUCCUCUCACAAACGAUGAGAUUAUUAAGGCAUGCUUCUCCUUUAAAUCAUUCAAAGCUCCAGGCCUGGAUGACCUUCACCCUUUCUUCUUCCAAAAAUAUUGGAACAUUGUUGGCAAAUCAAUAACUAGCCUUUGUCAAGAAGCUUUCAAUAGUGGAAAAAUUCCUAAUGGCAUAAACGAUACCCUCCUAUGUCUUAUCCCAAAAAUUCCUAAUGCUAAUAACUUAAAUUUUUUUAGGCCUAUUGGACUAUUUAACACUAUUUACAAAAUCAUUACCAAAGUCAUUUCAAAUCGAUUAAAGCCCUUCCUGAAUAGACUCAUUAGCCCCUAUCAAUCUAGUUUUACAAAAAAUAGAAAGGCUAGUGACACUGCUAUUAUUAUUCAAGAACUCAUACUCAAAUUAAAUAGAUACCAUGGUAAAAAACAAAAUAUGUUCUUAAAAAUUGACCUCAAAAAGGGUUUUGAUUGUCUUGAAUUAUCUUUCAUCUAUAGAGCUUUCACCUUCUUUAAAUUCCCCCAAACAUUACUAAGCUUAUUAUGAACUGUAUUUCCUCAACCAAAAUUUCUAUCCUAGUCAAUGGCUCUAGAACUGAUUACUUUGCCCCUACAAGGGGUAUUAGGCAAAGCGAUCCGAUGUCUCCAUACUUAUUUAUCCUUUGUAUGGAAAUGCUUUCCACUCUUAUCAAUCACAAAGUAGAUAUGGGUUGCAGGGAUCCAAUAACUAUAGGUAAGAACAAUUAUCAAUUGUCACACCUGUUCUUCGCGGAUGACCUUACCCUAACGUGUAGGAUCAAUAACAAAUCUAUAAAUACGAUUAAGCAUUGCCUUGAUCUAUUUUGCUCCUUGUCAGGGCUGACAAUCAAUAGGGCAAAAUCAAAAAUUAUCAUCUCCAAACACUUCCCCCAAAACAUCUGCAACAACUUAUCUAAAUUGCUCAACAUUAAUAUUAGUUACACAUUUGGAAAAUACUUAGGCUUUCCUAUUACAAAUUCAAAAACUAGAGCGAGUGAUUUCCAAUUUGUUAUUGAUAAUAUGCUAGCAAGAUUAGCCACCUGAAAAAUAAAUUGUCUUACCAUGGCAGGAAGGUGCACCCUAGCUACCUCGUUCCUAAAUUCUCUCCCUAACCAUAUUAUGCAAUAUACCCUAUGUAUUGGUAAAAAUAAAUAUUACACGUGUAAUUAUAUAUGUGGCUGAUAUGGCAAGACACAUGGAUCACUAAGAAAGCAACAGCUGGAGAGUUGCAAUAAAAGAUGCACGAGUCGUAAUAGGUAUGAGUAAAUUACUCACGAGAUGAAAGAGGUACGGUUGCUCGAGCCUAAAUUAUUAAAUGAAGAGACACUGGCAGGAUAAAUCAAGACAGUAAAGAGGGAGGAUUCACGAAUCGUCAAUUAAUGAGGAUGAAGGAUCAUAAACAUUACAGAAUCUUCAUGAACAGUUACGAUUGCCAAUUGUAACGUCUCAUUAAUGUCAUUAAUGCUCAUAAUGAUUCGGUCAUAAAGAAACGUUGUACUUAUAGAUUCCUAUAUAAGGGAAGGAGAUUUCAUUUGUAAGGACACGUUCUGAUUAUUAUUGGAAUACAAUUACUUUCUUUUGCUUUCAAUCGAUUUUUUUUGCUAUUUCUCAUAUUAAUUUUCUUUCUUAUUAUUGAGAGAAUACAGGAUUUCUUGGUUAUCAGUAGCCCGAGUACUUCUAAAAAUAGGCUUUGACUGAGAAUCUAAUUUUUUGGUUAAACAAAUUAGUUCCGUUACCGGGAAUCUAAUAAUCUUCUUACUUUCCAAAAUCUUUCUCUCUCACAACCAAAUCAUGUCGAUUGUCAAUGACAAUAACCGGCAGGUGGAAAGGACUCCAGUUCCAUCACCUCAGGGAACAUCACGCACUUUACGAGAAGGGUCACCUGAAAGAUCUACUACUCACAAUAAUGAACAACAUGGAGAUGAACAAAUCAUUGAGCAGGAUGCUGUGAAGCAGUUGAUCGCUGAACACGUGAAUAAUGCCCUCCAGGCUUUCGUGAGAGGACUAUCAGCUGUGCCACCAGCUCCUCCUCCAAAUAGUACUACAACUAUGGAAAUCCCACGCUUAGGAUUAGCUAAUUCAGGAAGCGGGGGAACUCCCAAUGAGUCACGUUAUGGGAGACCAGGUACGCCUAAUAAUUAUGAUUUAUAAACUUUAUUACUAACCUUGCAGAAACAGGUGAAAGAACAAAACGACCGUAUUGAGAAAAUACCUGGCGUACCACCUGUGAUUAAGGGAAUAGAUAUUGACAAAUAUUCGCAACAAUCUUGAAAACCAAGCGCAACUCCAUUGACCAUCACCAAGAAGUUCAAAAUGCCUGACAUCCCAAAAUAUGAUGGAACGACUGAUCCACGUGACCAUGUCACUGCGUUCACCACAGGAGUAAAAGACAAUGAUUUAACCAAACAGGAGAUCGAAUCAGUGUUGUGGUAAAAACGUUUGGAGAAACACUCACGAAAGGGGCGUUAACGGGGUGUUCUCUUUCACCUGAAAAGUCUAUUGACUCUUUUUCUGAGCUUGAAGAUUUGUUUAUAAAAGCACACUCGGGAGCUCAAAAAGUGGAAAAAAGAAUGGAAGACAUCUUUAAAGUAAAGCAAGGUGAUACAGAAUUGCUUCGAGGAUUUGUAGACAGAUUCCAGCGUGAAAGGAUGUUGUUACCAAGAGUACCUGACAAUUGGGCGGCCAUGACAUUUGCAAGUAAUUUAAAUGAAAGAAGUUCAGAAGCUAUGAGAAGAUUUAAAGAAAGCUUACGAGAGUUCCCUUCCACAACAUGGAAUGAUGUCUAUAAUAGGUAUAGUGCCAAGUUGCGGAUCGAAGAAGACAUCAUUGCUCAAUCAAAUGUUGAUGAGAAAACAGGGUCGAGACGGUCAGAAUCUGAGAAAAGGUCUGGUAAAAAUAGGUACGAGCCUUAUAUGGGACCCUCAGGACGAGAUUCACGUUCAAAACCAGAAAAUACACGACCCGAUCAUAGAUUUAUAAACCGAGAUUCAGGUUCAUCAUCAUCGAGAUUCAGAAAAGAUCGAAGUGAGCAUAAAAGGGAUACCAACGCAAAUGUAAGGAUUGGUGAUUACAGUUUUAAUAUUAGUACUUCCGAGUUGGUUGCUGUUUUAAGAAGCAUGGGAGAUAAGGUAUGUGGCCAAAGGAAAUGAGAUCAAACCCAAACAGAAGAAAUCCAUAUUUCUGGUGUGAAUUUCACAACAACCAUGGCCAUAAAACAUCAGAUUGCAGACUGUUACAAGGUAAAGUAGAACAUCCGUUGAAGCAAGGGUACUUGAUAGAUCUGUUUAGUGAAAAAGGAAAACAAUAUUACAUGAAAAAUAGACUAGAGCCUCCAAAACCUCCAUCGCCGAAGAGAACAGUGAACGUGAUAAGCGAAGGAGAAGAAGUCAAUGGUGUAACAUACACAACUACGAAAAGGAUGUUAAAGUUCACAGUAACUCACGGGAAGCGAGUUUGUCAAACUUUGGAAGAAGACAACACAACAUUUGACGAUGCAGAUGUGGACGGCUUGAUGAUUCCCCACAAUGAUGCACUGGUAAUAUCUUUACUUAUACAUGAUACUAAUGUAAAACGAGUUUUGAUUGAUUCAGGUAGCUCCGUGAAUAUUAUUUUAUUGUGAGUGGUGAACGAAAUGCUAAUUGGCAAUCAAAUAAUUCCAAAAGCACGUUCCUUAUCUAGGUUUGAUAAUUCAACCGUUAUUACAAAGGGUGAGAUGAAGCUAAAUACAUUCGCGGAAGGAGUCAUCAAAGAAACAAAAUUUCAAGUGAUAGUCACGGACAUGGCCUACAAUGUGAUUCUUGGGAGGCCAUGGAUUCAUGACAUGGAUGAUGUGCCGUCUACAUAGCAUCAGGUUAUUAAAUUCCCUUCAAAAUGGAGAAUUCGACAGAUUCGAGGGGAUCAAAAAACUUCAAAGAAUAUCAACUCAAUGAUGCAGCCAAGACAGAAAGAUACAGGUGCAAACGAGGAAGAUGUGGUAAAUCAAAUCUCAACUGAAAUUGUAUCAAAACAAACCAAUGUGGAUUUGAGACUGGAUGUAACUCAAGAACCAAUGGAGAGUGAAAACAUCAAAACAACAAUUGAGGAACUCGAAGCUGUUGUACUAUUCGGGCAAUGGCCAGAUCGAAAAGUUCAUACUGGAGCAAAGCUAAGCCCGAAAAUGAGAGGUAAGAUAAUUGAAUUCUUAAAACCUAACGCAGAUUGUUUUGCAUGGUCGCAUUCAGAUGUAACAGAUAUACCUCCGGAGGUGAUGACCCAUAAAUUAAAUGAAGAUCCAUCAUAUGUACUUGUCAAGCAAAAGAAGAGGAAGCAAUGAUCAUUCAAAAAUCAAGUGAUCAAUGAUGAGGUACAAAAACUCUUAAAGAUCGGUUCAAUACGCGAGGUAAAAUAUCCUAAUUGGUUAGCUAAUACUGUGGUAGUUCCAAAAAAGAACGGUAAAUGGUGAGUUUGUGUAGAUUACACUCACUUAAAUAAAGCAUGUCCAAAUGAUUCAUUCCCUUUACCGCAUAUAGAUCAAUUGAUUGAUUCUACCGCAGGUCAUGAGCUAUUAAGCUUUUUAGAUGCAUAUUCUGGUUAUAAUCCAAUAAAAAUGGAUCCCUUAGAUGAAGAAAAAACUUCAUUCAUUACGGACAGGGGGACUUAUUGUUACAAAGUCAUGCCUUUUGGCUUAAAAAAUGCUGGAGCCACAUAUCAGAGGUUGGUGACCAAGAUGUUCCAAGAACACCUGGGAAAGAUCAUGGAGGUGUAUAUUGAUGAUAUGUUGGUCAAAUCCACACAAGCGGAAGAUCAUUUUCAACAUUUUUCAAAUACCUUCGAGAUCCUCCGCAACUAUAAUAUGAAAUUGAACCCAGAAAAGUGCGCUUUUGGCGUAGCUUCAGGUAAGUUCUUAGGUUUCCUUGUAUCUAAUAGGGGUAUUGAAGUAAAUCCUGCACAGAUUAAAGCUAUUGAAGAAAUACCUGAUAUACUCACGACCAAAGAAGAGGUACAAAGAUUGACAGGUAGGAUUGUAGCUCUGGGAAGAUUCAUUUCAAAAUCUUCAGAGAAAAGUUUCAAAUUCUUUUCAGUGUUGAAAAAGCAAAAUGAGUUCGAAUGGAAUGAGGAAUGCCAACAAGCCCUCAAAAAUUUGAAGGCAUACUUAUCAAAUCCUCCUUUGUUGGCUAAACCAAGGGAUGGAGAGAAACUGUUUGUAUAUCUCGCAGUUUCAGAAAUAGCUGUAAGUGCAGUUUUAGUACGAGAAGACAAAGGUAAGCAAUCUCCAAUUUAUUAUGUUAGUAAAUCUUUGUUGGAUGUUGAGACUAGAUAUCCUCAUCUAGAAAAACUUGCUUUAUCAUUAUUUAUGGCAUCUAGAAAAUUGAGACCAUACUUUCAAUGUCACCAUAUUUCUAUAAUAACUGCAUAUUCUUUAAGGAAUAUUUUGCAUAAACAAGAUUUGUCGGGAAGAUUAGCCAAGUGGGCAAUAGAACUCAGUGAAUAUGAUAUCAUGUACCAACCUAGAACUGCAAUAAAAUCUCAAGUUUUAGCAGAUUUUGUAGCGGAUUUUAGCAAAAAAAAUAGUUCCUGAAUUAGAAAAGGAAUUACAAAUAUUCACUAGAUCUAAUCCAGGUACGUGGACUUUAUUUACUGAUGGUUCCUCAAAUGUUAAAGGAGCCGGUUUGGGUAUUGUCCUAAUUCCACCCUCGGGGGAAAGUAUAAGACAAGCAAUUAAGUGUUACCCUAUUACUAACAAUGAAGCAGAGUACGAAGCUGUAAUUGCAGGUUUGGAACUGGCACGAGAACUCUCCAUAGAGCAAAUUGUGAUUAAAAGUGAUUCUCAGCUGGUAGUCAAUCAGAUGCAGGGGACUUACAUAGCUAGAGAGGCACAAAUGCAACAAUACUUGGAAAAGGCACGAGAACUGAUCAGACAAUUCCAAUCAUGGAAGAUCGUGCAAAUACCCAUGGAAGAAAAUGCAGAAGCGGGUGCGUUAGCUAACCUUGCGUCAGUUGCGGAAGUAACAAGUGCAAAAAAUACUAUUGUAAUACAUUUAUUUCAUUCAGCGCUGGACCAGGAUAAGAAUGGGGUAAGAUUUAAUAAUUUAACCUAGGAUUGGAGAAACGAGAUUGUUAAUUUUUUGCAGUACGGGAUCCUACGUGAUGGCAAGCAAGAGUCUCAAUUGCUUCGACAAAAAGCUGCCCGUUAUUAUUUAAUUCGAGGAAAUUUAUAUCGAAAGAUGUUCGGUGGUCCUUUAGCAAGGUGACUUAGACCCGCUCAAACGGAAUAUGUGAUGAAAGAAGUGCAUGAGAGGCAUUGCGAAAAUCAUGCAGGUGGAAGAUCUUUAGUUAAAACACUAAUCAUGGCAGGAUACUACUGGCCUAAAAUGGAAGAUGAUGCAAAGAAUUUUGUAGACAAGUGUGAUAAAUGUCAACGACACGGCAAUAAUAUGCACCGCCCUGCAGAAUAUUACAUACAGUUAUUUCCCCAUGGCCAUUUAUAAAGUGGGGAAUAGAUAUAAUAGGCCCUUUACCAUAAGCUAAAGGAAAGGUACGAUUAUUUUUAGUAUUAACAGAUUAUUUUUCCAAAUGGGUAGAGGCACGAGCUUUCAAACAGGUACGAGAAAAAGAGAUAAAGGAUUUCAUUUGGCGAAAUAUUAUAUGCCGAUUUGGAAUACCAAAAGAAAUCGUAUGUGAUAAUGGCCCACAGUUUAUAGGCUCGAAAUCACAGAAAUUUUUCAAAGUUGGCAAAUCAAACGAAUAACCUCUUCACCUUAUCAUCCCGUGGCAAAUGGACAAGCUGAGUCGAUAAAUAAGAUUAUCAUUAAUAAUUUGAAGAAGAUAUUGGAGAAAUCAAAAGGCAAUUGGCCUGAGGUAUUACCAGGAGUAUUAUGGGCUUAUAGAACAAUAGAAAAAAUAACUACAAGAGAAACACCAUUUUCACUUGUUUACGGUUCAUAGGCUUUAAUCCCAGUCAAAAUAGGAGAACCAAGUACGAGAUUCACACUGGCGAUGGAAGAGUCAAACGAUGAAGAAUUGAGAACAAACUUGGAUUUACUCGAACAAAGAAGAGAAGUGGCUUUAAUAAGGAUGGCAGCACAAAGGCAAAUCAUAGAACGCUACUACAACAGGAAGGCCCAUCUCAGAUACUUCAAGAUUGGGGACUUCGUUCUCAAAAAGGUUUUCCAAUCAACAAAAAUAACUGGAGCAGGAACGUUGAACCCAAAUUGGGAAGGACCUUAUAAAGUUUGUGGUAUCGCUAGAAAGGGUGCUUACGAGUUAUAAACUAUGGACGGCAAGGUUUUACCUUCGAGUUGGAAUACUAUUCAUUUGAAGAAAUAUUAUUUCUGAGAGAAAGAAAUACCCCCGGUCAGGUAUCACUUAAUUACGAUUUUUGUUUUGUACAGUUAAGAUUAUACUAACAAUUUUAGAUGAUAGGAAAAAAGCUAGCCCACACCAAAUGAUGAUAUUAGACCUGAAAGACACACAGAUGCAAAAUUAUUCCUGGUCUAGGGUUACAAUCUUUCUGAUGGAAAUAAAAAGGGUUAAGCAGUCAUCAUCUAAAAAAAUAUAUACCUCUGAGUCCUGUAUAUUUUUUCCUUUUCAGAAAAUGGACCACAUGGAAGAAAUAAUCAAGUGCUCGAGAUUUCAUACUUCAAAGCUCUAACACUUGGGGACUAUAUAUAUGGAAGGCAAAGAAGACUAAAAAAGUCAGAAUUCGAGUCAAGCCUGGGUCAAUCUACCCAACAAAUCGAAAGUUAAAGCAAAUCAAGAGCCAAAAAGACAAGCCUGAUUCAAAAACCUAUGAUGAAGUAUACACUCGCAGACGUAAAUUACAAAAUCUUACGAGAACCUAGGUUAAAGGCAAUAUUUAGUCAUGGGUUGCAAGAUAUACCCUUGAAUUUUAUAAAAUCUGUUAUAAAGAAAACAGUUAUGAAAGAGUUGUAGAUGCUACUUGAAUACAUGUAAAGUGUUAUACAGUUUGAAAGUUCAAAAAUACAAAACUUCCUCAAAUUAUUCAACAAAUAUGUAUGUUCCUACUUCUUCUUUCGUAUGUUUACACCAAUAUGAAGUUGAGACGUCUUCUUCAUUAAGUGUCGUUUAUAAAAGGGCCCUCUUUUAUAAUUCGUGCUUAUUCAAAAAGUCACAGAGUAUUGAAGCAUUUUUAAAUGCAAUAUAAGAGAGUAGAACAGAAACUCUAAAUAAGAUAUUAUAAGAGUUGAACAAAAACUCCGAAUGUAAUAUUAUAUAAACUUGGUUAAAACUAAGUAUAUACUUAGUUCAAACCUAAGUAUUUGAUACUAAACCCCAAAACGGACCAGGGGUAAAACAUCCCAAUCAUUCCACCAUAAACAAAAACAACACAACAAACUUUCCAAACAAACUUCCAUUAUGGGGCAGGUUCUGAACCAGUACUAUCAGGAGGAUUCAAGAUGGCAUCAUCUGCAGCAGCAGAAGGUUCGACUUGAGCAAAAGAGGUUUGAACAUCAGCUUUACCAGGAGUAAGUUCAUCACCCUCGGGAAUGCCGACCUCAGGUGAAGAAAAGUUUUGACUCUGCUGAGUUUUCUCAAUAGUUUCCUUAGUUUUUGCAAUUUCAGCAGCUAAGUCAAAGCUUUCUUGGCUUGCCUCCAUUAAAGUUUCGAGGCACGUGUUCAAAAAAGCCCAGCUUACAUCAACAGUAGCUUUGUCCUCAAAGGCUUCAUAAUACCUCUCCUACUGCUCAAUUUUGGCUCUCAACUCUUCCUUUUCAGUUAAAGCAGCAUCAUAAGAAGCUUGUAAAUGGGCGAGUGACCUUUCUAAGAACUGAACCUUGCUGGAAGACGCACAAAGAUCUUCUUGAGUCCGGGUGAGCAUUUGAACAAGCUCCCCGGCGUAAACUUCCUUCUGGUUAAGCAUUUCUUUCAAACCCCUAAUUUCUUCAGUGGCUUUGGAAAGCUGCUCGGCAAAUGAAGACUCGAGAAGGUAUUUAUCCUUGCCUACUUGACUGGAAGAGGCUUUCUCAAUCGCCAACUCUGGUGCCAUUACCUUCACUUGUUGAUCCAAGGUACACUUCUCCUCAUCUAAAACUUCUUUCUCAAGCUGAAGUCCUUCAAACUGCUCCUUCCAGUUGUCUUCUUUGUUGCAAUAGUCAUUCAUUAACUACUCAGUAUGGAAAAUCCUCUUCAUCAGCUCCGUGCCUAUUAGGUUGAUCUAUACGAGAAAAGGAAAAUGUGAUUAUCAAAUAAAGAUGAAAACAAAAUCACAAGCAAAAUAAAAAGCUAAGGCUUAUACCUUUAAAGAUGAAUGGACAAUAUCAUCCAUCCACGUUAAAUAAUUAUGGAUUUCCAAUUUGGACUUCUCAACUGGGCCAAUCAACGGUUUCAGCCAUACAUCAGCUUGGCCAGAUUUCUUUAGAAGAUUACCAUCCUCGGGGACUUCGAUGGUAACGUUUUUCAUUAUCCUACUAUUACUAGAAGAACCAAAUUCAACAUGAGAAGUGGUAACAGUAGGGGCAAUUGAGGGAGUCAAAACAGCCACGGGUGGAGCAAUGGCAACAACAAUAGGUGCAGGAAACUGAGGAUCAACAAGUGCAGAUACUGGAAAAGAGGCAAGAGGCGCUUCCUCAGAAACAAAGCCGAAGUCUUCACUAUCAAACCCAUGGGAAAAAAGUUGUUUUGUAGAGUCACGGGGUGCGGCAGUCAUCUCUUCAUCAAAGCUCACCAAAGUGGCACUUUCGGUCUCAUGCAUGGGAACAGAACUGGGAGGAGGAGUAGCUUCAUCAUCCGAAAUGACACGUCUCCUAGCUCGAGGCUUACGUACUAACGAUCCCUCAUCUCGUUCCUCUUCACCCUUGGAACCGUGAGCUCUAUCAGCUUUUCUCUUUGAUGAGGAACUCAAGAUCAUCUCUUGAGCCAUAGACAGAGAAAGUUUCGAUGCAGCAAUAGAUGCAGUGCUAACACCCCGAAUGGGAAACCCUAGCAGAAGAAGAAGUUAGUAAAUUUCAAAUAAAUAUGAAAGCAAGGUAGAACAUUGAAUAGAUACCAUGAGUCUUCACUUUCCAACAAAACCUAUUAGAAAGGUACUUCCAGGACAUUCCUUCCAUAGGAGCAACAACCAACAAUUUUUCUACCCAAGCACGGAAGUCUGGAAUUUCUUCAACAACUUCCAUGGUUGCUGAAAAGAGAGAAAAAAAAAACCACGAGAUUGUAAGUUCUUUUUUCUUCAAUAAAGAAAAAAGAAGAAGAAAGUAUGAAAAUAAACUUACGUGCAAAGUUCCAUUUUUCUGGAAAAAGGCAUGUUCUCUUCACCCACUAAACCACUUGUGGGAACAACAACGAAACGAGCAUACCAGCCAUGAUCCUUGUCAUCUUCAGGGCUAACCAAAACUCUCUUACUUCUGGCCACGAGAGUAAAUACCCCAGAACGAAACAACUUGGGGGAAUAAAGAUGAAUCAAGUGAUAGAAGGUAAAGGGUAAAAAGGCCAAAUUAGACAAGUAUCUUAAGCAUGCCACAACUCUCCAUACGAUAGGACCAAUCUAUCCUAAACAAACGUUAAAAAAACGGCAAAAUUCUAUAAUGACUGGGUCAAUAGGUGGUCUGAAGCCUAAUGUAAAGGGAUAGAAUAACCAGCUUUGUAUGAAGUGAUCCUUUGAUUUGCGUUAGGGACUAAAAUUGGGAAAUCAACUUUUCAAUGACAUUCUCUUCGCACAAGAGAAAUCAAACCCUCAGUAAUCUGGGAAGGGUAAACAUCAGCACGAUCAUGAAAAGUCAUAGAAGUAACUUGGUUUCUAAUUGAUUCAUGAUCAGUAGAGAAGGAAAGUUCAACGGGGAUAAUUUCAUCAACAGUGUGUUCCCGAAGAGGUUUACUUGAAUCCCUACUUCUGGUAGAGGAUCUAUGAGAAGAAGAAGCCCUAGUUCUAGAAGAUGAAGGGGUAGCAACACUGGGUUGAGAAGUAGAACCACGAAUAGAUACAGAUCUUAAGCUACGUAAUCUGCCACCUGUUCUACUCCUGACAGGAGCAGAUGAAGAGGGAAGUUCAUCUACUAUAACUACUCUACGAGGAUCAGGGUUUGGUGAAGACAUGGUUGUAUAAGAAAAUAAUACUUGCCAGUAAACAAGAACUAUUAUGGAAGAAGAAUACUGUAGAUUGAAGGUUUUUCGUGAAAGCAAAGGCAUAAGAGGUAUUUUUAAGAAAAAGCAAGCGUUCUGUAAAGGGAGUCAUGAUGGAAACAUCAUAAUGAAACAUUCACUUCGUGACUGACGCAGCCGCAAAAAAGCCCUAACAAUCGCUGAAGAGUUGUAGGUCCAAUCAAUGAAUGCCAUGUGGAUUAAAUAUAAGUGACAUACGACGCAUUAAUUCUGAAGAAGGCACAAUAAUACAUAGGAAACGGCGGCAAAAGAUUCCCGCCAUAAAUGUGAUCCACUUCCCAAAUAUUCAAUUGUUGAAUAAUUGGCAAGUGGGGGGACUAUAUGUAUUGGUAAAAAUAAAUAUUACAUGUGGAAUUAUAUAUGUGGCUGAUAUGGCAAGACACGUGGAUCACUAAGAAAGCAACAGUUGGAGAGUUGCAUUAAAAGAUGCACGAGUCGUAAUAGGUACGAUUAAAUCACUCACGAGAUGAAAGAGGUACGGUCGCUCGAGCCUAAAUUACUAAAUGAAGAUACACUGGUAUGAUGAAUCAAGACAGUAAAGAAGGAGGAUUCACGAAUCGUCAAUUAAUGAGGAAGAAGGAUCAUAAAUGUUACACAAUCUUCAUGAACAGUUACGAUUGCCAAUUGUAAUGUCUCAUUAAUGUCAUUAAUGCUCAUAAUGAUUCGGUCAUAAAAGGGAAGAAACGUUGUACUUAUAGAUUCCUAUAUAAGGGAAGGAGAUUUCAUUUGUAAGGACACGUUCUGAUUAUUAUUGGAAUACAAUUACUUUCUUUUGCUUUCAAUCGAUUACUUUGCUAUUUCUCAUAUUAAUUUCCUUUCUUAUUAUUGAGAGAAUACGAGAUUUCUUGCUUAUCAGUAGCCCGAGUACUUCUAAAAGUAGGCUUUGACUGAGAAUCUAAUUUUUUGGUUAAACACCCUAUUACCCUCAAAGAUUCUAAAAAAUAUUGAUAAAAUCCAACGAAACUUCUUAUGGGGUACAAAUGCCACCUCCAAAAAACUCCAUCUUAUAAAAUGGGACACUAUCACCAAGGACAAAAAGGAGGGUGGUUUAGGGAUUCAUACGGCCAAGGGCAAAAACUUAGUAAACCUUGCCAACCUGUCUUGGAGGCUCCUCUCAAACACUCAUUCCCCCGGGUAAAAAUAAUUCAUGCGCUUCAUAGUACUAGAAAAAUUUAAGAAUUCUUCGUUUAUUUGGUAUAACAUUAUUCAUGGAUGGGAUAUUUGUAGCAAAGGUAUUAGAUACAAAUUAUCAAAUCUCAGUGUUUGGAACAACAGUUGGAUUCAUCAAUCCCCACCAUUACGCCAAUACAUUUAUGGUCCCCUAACCCAGCAUGACGAUAGGCUAGCUAUUAAGGAUAUAUGGAUUAAUAAUCAGCGGGACUUAUCAAAAAUUUCCAUAGAACUUCAACCCUUCUUGAUCAACAAAAUAAAUUCCACCACUCCUAACUCCAAAAACUUUGACACUCCUAUUUGGUCACUAACCACAAAUUGUCACUUUACUAGCAAGCCGUGCUACAACCUAUUAGGCACUCAAUCAGACGAUGGUAAGGAUUAAGCUUGGAUUUGGAAGAUGACUUGUCCAAACAAAAUAAAAUUCUUGAUUUGGAAAUGCUACCAUGAGAGACUACCUACUAGAAGCUACUUAAAUCACAUUGGUAUAAACAUUGACCCUACUUGCACCUUUUGCGAGAGUCAUAAGGAAACCAUUACCCACAUAUUCAUGCACUGCACAACCGUAAGAGAUUUUUGGCUACAGUUAGGGAUAGAUAUGGAAAGCUGGAAUAUAACUGGUAAUUGGUUGAUCAACAUUCGCGAUUACAACUGUUUACUAAAAAAGGGCAUCAUCAAUUGGAAAGAAUUGUUUCCUUUUGCUAUAUGGACUAUUUGGGUGAAUAUAAACAACAACUUAUACAAUAACACCACAAACAAAGAAUUCAGUAUGCUUACAAGCUAUCAGUGGAAUUUAAACUCCUCACUGACAAGGAAGAUAUGCCACAACAAAAAAUCCCAAUCUCAGUAAAAUGGCUUAAGCCAACUUGUAACCACAUUAAGCUUAACAUCGAUAGUUCCUUUAAACAAGAAACUUCUCUAUGUGGCUUUGGGGGCCUGUUCAUGGACAAUAAGGGUAAGUGGGUGGUUGGAUUCCAAGGGUCUCUACCAGGUCGAUCUCCAUUGCAUGCUGACCUGAUGGCACUAAAGACAUGCCUACAUCUUGCAAUGGAACAAGGUUUCACUAACUUAGAAGUGGAAUCAGACUCUACGGAUGUCAUUAGCUGCUUAGAAAAUGGCAACACAUCCCUUAACAACAUUAUUCAUGAAUGCAGGUCAUUGAUGAACCAGAUGAAAGUUCAAACAAUCCAGCACAACUUCAGAGAGGCCAACAAGCCAGCACACAAGCUGGCUAAAAAUGCUAUUCAGGAAAGCAUUGGUAGGGAUCUUGCAAUUAUGUACUAUCCACCAUCUUUUGUAACCGCUGUCUUAUCCUAUGACUAUGAAGGUCCUGUCUACCUAGUUAAAAACAUUAGCAAAGAUGCAUGCUCUAAGCUUGCAUCGUUUGGAAAUAAAAAUGUCCUAUGUGACAUUAGUAGUUUCUUUAAUAGCCAAGUAGGUAAUGUGCCUUCGGACAAUGCUAAACUAUGUAAACUCUAUGUUAUGAUAUUUAUAUAAUAUAUCCCUGCUUAUAAAAAAUGACAGGUAGCAGAUAAGCACAGAGUCAUAGAAGGAACGUAACAAUUAAGAGUCACAAGCCAAUAAGGAAGGCAUCAACUUCAACUAAAACAUAUAAGUGCAAAAUAUCAUGUAAGAAGUAUCAUGAAUGCUAACAACGCCAAAUAAAGUAUGUAAGAGUAAUCAUGUGCCAACAAUUUACAAUUAAAUACAUGAAAGAUGCCUAAGAGUUUAAACCGAUAGAAAUCUCACAUAUAAGCUCGAGUACGUACUCGUCACCUCGCGUACACGAAUUUUAAAUUGCACAAAUGACUCAAUGCCUAAGGGAAAUCCUCCCCCCCCCCACAAAAGGUUAGGCAAGAUACUUACCUCAAAGAAGCUAGAUCAUUAUUCUAAAAUGAACUUCUUGAGUGAAACAACCUCCGGACGGCUCAAAUCUAACCAAAAUAGGUUCUAAUCAUAAAUAAAACUCAUAAGAAAUAUUUUCGGAUAAUAAAGCUUCAAUCUUUAACAAAAAUAAAAAAGUCAACCUAAAAGGGCCUGCAUCUCGGAACCCGAUAAAAUUCACCAAACCCGAACACUCAUUCUGAUACGAGUUCAACCAUGCGAAAAUUAGCAAUUUCCGACAUCAAUUCGUCCUUCAUAUAAUCAUUUUUCAUUUUGAAAGACUUCUUCAAAAAUUCCCAUUUUCCCUCUACUCAAAACACUAAUUAUAAGAUAAAACUAAAGAUGGAAUCAUGAAAUAUAAUAAAUUUCGGGUGUUUGUUUGAAAAAACCAUGAAAGAUCGCUCAAAACCGAGGUCUACAACUCAAGAUAUGGUAAAAACGCCAAACCCUCGAUUUUGAAAAAUAUACUCUGUUGCCCAGGUAUUUACACAUUGCGAUCGUGGAAGAGAUAAUGCGACCGCGAAGAAGAAAUUACUACUGCCCAAAAAUAUAACACAUGUGAUCGAUAAGAAGGGAACAACUGCUUCCCAAAGAAACGUACUACGCAAUCGCGAAAGAGCACGUGCGAUCGCAAAAGGGGAAGAAAAAUACCAGCUGCUACGGCUAUGCUACGCGAACGCGGACAUCUGACUGCAUAAGCUUCGCGAAAGCAUGACCACAAUCGCGUUCGCGGUGAACAAAAAUCCUGAGCUCCAAGGAACCUUACGCAAUCGUAUCUUCAUCUUCGCAAUCGCGAAGAGUAACGGUAACAUCAGAAACUAGCAACUCAAAAACCUGAAGAAAUGGCCCGUAGCCCAUCCAAAAUACACCCAAGGCCCCCCGAGACCCCAUCGAAACAUACCAACAUGUUCCAUAACAUAACACAGACCUGCUCGAGAUCUCAAAUCACAUCAAACAACGUCAAAAGCCACGAAUCGCACUACAAAUCAAACUUACGAACUUUCAAAUCUUCCAACUUCCAAAACUCGUGCCGAAAUAUGUCAAAUCAACCCGGAAUGACGUCGAAUUUUGUACGCAAGUACCAAAUGACAUAACUGAGCUAAUCAAAGUCACGGAAUCGCAAUCCGACCCCGAUAUCACCAAAGUCAACUCUCGGUCAAACCUCUCAACCUUCCAAAAUUUCAACUUUCCAAUUUCAUCGAAAUGCUUCCAAUUACCUUACGGACCUCCAAAUCCAAAUCUGGACGCACUCCUAAGUCCAAAAUCACCAUACUAAGCUUUUGGAAUCCUCAAAAUACCAUUUCGGAGUCGUCCACACAAAAGUCAAACUCCUGUCAACUCUUACCGCUUAAGCUUCUAAAACAAGAAUCCUUCUUCCGAAUUAAUCCGGAACCAUCUGAAACCCGAACUCGACCACAGACCCAAGUCACAACACAUAACACGAAGUUGCUCGAGACCUUAAGCCACCGAAGAGGCGCUAAUUCUCAAAAUGACUGGUCGAGUCGUUAUAGAAUUAAUUGGGUUUAGAAUAAGAUUUUAGAACUGUAAUGGGCCAAAAUGAGUUUAACUGGUCAGACUUGACCUUAGUAUUCAUUUAUAAGGCUGGCCCAAUUGUCGUACAUUCACAAGAUGCCUUUAUCUUUGAUUGCUACACUAGCCUACUAGUCAAUAAUUCCAUAAUUUGGCCCACUUCCAUAAACGAUAAGUCAAUUCAAACUUCUAAAAAUAUUUUAUUCAUUAAUAAUUUCAUAAUAUAAUACCAAAGAAUAGAAUAAUGCUUCAAAUAUUGGCCAUGUGUUCAUACCUAAUCCGUGGUUGAUAUUAAACAACUCAUCAAUGUCUAAAAUAAUCAAUGUUAGCCUAUGUGUUCAUACUCGAACCUUGAAUGGACCUAUUUCAACUAAUAAAAGGGUCGUGUGUGCAUUCUCGCUCCAUGAUCACCGUGUUUAGCCAAGUAGACUUACACGUUCCGUGGUUUGACACACUUAACCAACUAAUGACCUUGUGUGCCUACAUGCUCGUGGGUCAAAAACAAUCAAAAAGAGUUAAUCAAUAAUCAGCGGUAAUAAUAAGGAGUAAAAAAAUAUGGAAUAAUCCAAGAACUAGUUAAAGCCAAGAUAAGUUGAUUAAGUGAUCAUGCUAGAAUCACAGGAUUGGGGUAAUGCUUCACACUUUCUCCCUGGUCAAUAAAAUUGCUUAUCCGGUCUUUUAUGUUCGCGAACCAUAAUAAUUGAAGUCAAACCUUCCUUUGACUAAGGAUUCAAAAAAAAGGUGACUCAGAACACCAUAACUCAAUUCGGAGUGGCGACUGCGUAACAAUAAUAAAGUAAUCCCUAUUCAAAAUAAUAUCGCUUUAAUGGGAAAAAACUCUUAACGAAAGAGGAGGUGUGACAUUGUCAAUUGAUUCUCCAUCUUAUCGCCAUUUGUGGUGAGCCAUGAUUAACCAUGGUGAGUUAAAGGAUGUGAACAAGUUUAAACUUAGAUACAUAAAUCAGAUCCUGGAAUAAUGUGUUCUUAAUUCAGUUCUUAUCUUAAAGUACUCGCAAAUUUUAAGUAUACAUGGUCGCCAAGUAAUAUAUGAUUGUAAGUCCAUAUAUCGUACCCACAGGAACUUGUGAUUAAUUAUCAACUAAAUUAAACUAAGACAAUUAAUCUAUUCAAGCGAAUCCUAAAGUAUGAAUAUUUAACUAAACCUAAUCUAGAGUAACAAACUAAGAGAUUAACGGAAACAAGUUGGCAAAAAUAGACACGAAUUCAAUGAGAGACGAUAUUCUAGAGUUAUGGGUUAGCUAACAAUCCCGUUGAGUUUUCUACCUAAUUUUCCAAUUAAUUUAUCUAGUUUAUUGAUUGACAGGGUUAAUAUUACUCGUAGCCUUCUCCCGAAGUACUACUCGCUUAUUCAAGCUAACCUAACGCCUAUAUUCUUAUGGAAUUAGGAUUAACAAGAACACAUUAAUAAUUCCUGUAUAAUAACCAAGCAAGGCGAUUAGAUAUAUCCCUAUCCUAACCACAAAUCCGUUCCCGAUGCUCGAGUUCAAGAUCUUGCUCUACUCAAUCUUAUAUGCAAUCUAGAAUUCCCUCUCCUUAGUUAAAUCCUAGAUUCAUAGAUCGUAUUCAAUUGGUGGUCAAGCAAUAAAAUAAUUAAGCGCAAGAUGGAAUAAAUAAACCAAUAUGAUAAAAUAAUAAGAACAAUUCAAGCUUCAAAACUACAACGUUCAUGUAGCACCCAUAACUCUAGAACUAAUAAACUAUGAGAUUAAAGGAAAAUAAGAGAAUAAAAACUAGUUAGAAGCCUCCUCCAAGUGUGGUGUGUGUUCCUCCACGUGAAUUCUCCUUCAAAGUAUGUUAUAUAUCUUCCAAAUUAGGUUUAAACUUGCUUUUAUAUAAGUUGAGGGGGUCUUGGGCCGAAAUAAUCUUGUCCCGGGCGAAGUAGGAAUGAUUUCCUGUCACCAGCGCCCAGGGAAGCGUGGGGCCCUGGCCCUGGCACUGGAAAAUUGGACAUUCUGUAAACGGCGCCACAGGUGGCGUGGGGUACUAGAAUUCAACAUUGUCCGUUUUUCUCUGCUUUGGCUCUAAUCUCGCACCUUUCAACCUCUAUUGCCUCCUGAUGAUUCAUACAUAUAAAGACACCACGAAUUAACAUAAAUCAAUACAUUUUACAUCUGAAAUACACGAAACACAAGUAAAACAUGAGGCGAUAUACAUAUAAAUAUAUAUAUAUAUAUAUAUUUUAAUCUAAAUAUCAACACCCUACUCUUAGAAUCUUGCCCGUCCUCGAGCAACGGGACUAUCAGCUACACCCCAACAACGUACACGUCUCAACUAGAAAGGAGCAUUUCAAUUUUUAACCAUACACUCUACCCUUGACAAUGGUCGAUACCGGCAAUCAGGCACGAACAUACAAAUUUUACAUUCUUCACAUUUUAAACAUGCCAAGUCUACUAUUUCAAUUCAAUCAAUUCAAACAACCUAUCCUUAACCACCCUACCUCAAGAGCCGACUCGUUACCCCUAAGCGCCCUCAACUCGCGCACUCACCCAAUAAGAGAAGUUUACAAUAUUACCAAUCCUUUAUGAGAUCAUGUGCCCUCACCAACAAACAAAAGAGGGAAUAUAAAGUAAUCCACACAUUCAAGUAUGCCUUUGUACAUAAUUUAAGAACAUCAAACAAUUAAACAAAAUUCACUCACUCUCACAAAGAAUUUCAUGUGUGUCCCAUGGUCAUACCAUAAGAUUACCCGUAGUGUACAUCUUUACUAAUCUAAGCUAGCCAAAUCUAGGAUCAAUUAGGACUUUAAGGCUAUAAUGUAGGUUAAGGGACGGGUAUGAUACAUUUAGGAAUAGUGACUAACCCUCCUAAGCAUUUUAAUACACUACACUCACAAUUCGAGCAUAUCUUCUUCUCAAUCAAUUCACUCACCAUACACCAUAUAUAACACAACCCUCUUUUUAAUUAAGCACCUCUAUAUUUUCACUAGCAAGAAUUAGUAGUAUUAGAAGAUGUGUGCUUUUCUUAAUGAUUUGAACUAUUCUUUUUCUUUCUUGCAAUCUUUUUCUUUUUUUCUCUUUUUUUUCUACACACACUCCAUACAUUAAGGUUCAUCGGCUAGUGACCUUUUUUCAACUUUAGUGCACCUUAAGGGCCCUUCCAUGGUUCCACUUGAAAGCUACUCCCCAAUAUCUCACCUUACUUCUUUUAACGACUAAGUGUUAGGUAAAGGUUCAACAAUCUCAAAUUAAGAACAAAAUAGGGGUACAACUUGUAAUGUGGGUGCCAAAGAAAAGGUCCAUAGGCUCAAAGGGGCUAGUAACGGAAAAUUUUAUCUUCAAGUGACAAGCACAUCUAUGGUCGAGCAAGAAACACCUAUGUCAUCUCCUAGACUAGCACAACUUAAUGAUUUCGCUUCGAUUAACACACGGGGCAAGUUCUAGACUACACGGGAUAUCACAGAAGAUCACAAUAUCUCACACACAUAUUGCACAUGACUCAAUCGAGACAGUUCUAUUCAACUCUCAACUCAAGAAAGAACAUAUAAUUGAGAAAUUUUAAGCAAUAUUGCACUAUGUAGCAUACAAGUCGAACAACUGAGAAAAGGCGUCACAAAAUAGGCUAUUUACUUUACUCAUGCAUCACAAUUCAAAUCAAAUGUAUAGGAAGAUAGAGUGCAUGUGCCAGCACCAAACAUGUUAGUAGGUAUCUCAGAGCAACUCAGUUUCUUCCUACCAUACUACUAAAAACAAUAAAGUACCCGGUUCGCACUACACCCUUGGAAAUGAACUGACGCCCAAAGAAAUACCAAGGGAUACUACCUAACUAUCCUAAAAAAUAUCUUUUUGGUAUUUUUAAUUGGACUUUAUCCCUCAAAUAAAUUGUCCAACAGAUCUAUCAUCGGAAAAAGUCCAAGCUUUUCCUAUGUUUUUUCUUUCUUGUAUUUUUGUAUUUUGUUUUCUUUUUCUUUUUUCGAAAACAAACUAGACUAUAAGCUAGACUAAGUAAAAACUAAUAAAAAGUAACAAAUUGAUACAAGUUAUACAAUAUACAUCACAGGCAGUAGUUCUCCCACCCCACACUUAGCAUAUACAUAGCCCCCGAUCCAUGUAAAAAUGUAAAAAUAGUAGGGUGAAAAGAAAACUCCCUGCUAGUCGGAUUCCCCCUCCUCAUCAUGCCCGCCAUCUGCAGUUUUGGGUGCAUCAUUAUCAGGUCCUAGAGGCACCAAAGACAUGGGCCUCGUGACAUCAUCACCAUUCUCGUCCUCUGUGUCGGAGCCUUUUGUAAGUGUUUGCAUUAUCUGACUAGUGAACGGGGCUGCCAGGUGCUAUCCCCAACAUCUCAUUGGAAGAACCCGGCAAAUUAUUGCAUAAAUGCAUACGCCCCUCGUCUGAUACACCCAUCCUGCUCAUGAAUACAUUUAAAGAGUUAUGGAGAUACUUGUUGAAGUUCUUGUCUCUUUCAUUCCGUGCUGCCUGAGUGAGCUUAGACGUAGUAUCCAACAAGGAUGUGAUGUACAACAACCCUUUAGGAUCCUCCACCACCUCAUCAUACCCUAGGUAUUCCGCACCUCCCGGGAGAGCAUAUACUGCGUGAGCAAGCUGUCAAAGAAAAACCUCUUAAUCUGCCACCCAAAUCGUGUGUGUGCCAUCUCCCCCAACAUGAUCUCACCCAUAUUAGUGGGUCUCCCAAACAUCAAAAAGAAUAUCACACACGCUCGAGCCCGAGUGCAUUCGAUGUUGUGUUUAACUGGCAUGAGUCGAGCCUGCACGAAGUUCUGCCACACUUUGGCGGUCUUGUUGAAAUCAGAGCAAACCAUCUGAAGAUGGAUCUCACCUUUCUUUCUAGUCCACUUGGCAUUUGAAUCGACGCCACAAAGAGUGUGACGUAUUUCCGUGUAGCUUGGGCUUUUGACAAAUUUCUUUAGCGUCCUCGAGUAGGAGUUCUUAACCCCCCAAAAUGCACAUAAAGACCGCCUAUCCAGUGGAACGUCCUUAACAUAUACAUAUGACCUAAACAAGUCUGCAGUCCAGUAGAUGUACAGUUCCCGUACCAUGCUCAAAUUUGCAUGACCGGGGAAUUCUAUGAAUUUUUCCAUGUUUAGUACUCGCAAUCGGCCAAGCACGUCCGGGAAGUUCCUUUCUAAAUCUUUCACAUUAAUCCCAUCUUAGAGACGUACCGCCCAUAUGGCACGAAGUCCUUAUGCCAUGCAAUAGCAGCAUCACUGGUUAGUUUCAAACGAGGCCUUGAUUGCAAUGGUGUCUGUUGUGAUCCUUCGACAACUUGUUUCCCCUUAGCUUGCCUUGAGGAUCCUUCUCCUGGCUUGCAAUUUUUGGGCACGAGGGAAGUGGUGGAGGACUUCCCUAUUACACUGCCUUUGUUUGCAUUAUCACGAGCCAUAGAAACCUACAACACAAAUAAGCAUGAAUGUGAGAACGAAUCAAGAAAUCCGCCUAUGGUUGUCGUGCUAGUCAAAAAAUGACCCCACACUUAAAACCGAAGGCUCAAUGUAUAAUACUCACAAUCGUGGUCUAAAACGCACACGUGUUGCACCACAAGAAUGGGUAAUCAAGACUUCCCCAUGCCAUAUAAUAGCUAAAAGGCACUAACUAUGCCACACAAAUAAGUGAUUGAUCACGGCGAAGUGAAUUAACCUCAAUGCAAGAAAGUGGAAUAUGGUACUUAAUAUUUACAACUACUACACUAAAUUAGCUAAUUCUACAAAGUGCUACAACAUACAUAAUAUAGGAUGCAUGGUGUGGGCGACCUGUGUGCAUUAAAACUAAGCUCCCAAGUAUGUAAAAUUAUACCCACACACCCCACACUUAGCUCGAUGUCACAUAUAACUACAUUCGGUUACUCAGACUUUACCGGUGCACAAAAUUAUCAUUCAAACAUUUUAACAAACACCUUGUGGGCAUGACGUGUGUGCACUUUUAUUUAACAAUGGUGGAACAUGGUGAUCCUCCCAAAUUUCAACGAAGUAGAGGGAAUUCUAGUUUACUACUUCGUAUAUAAUACGACCACAAACUAAUUUCGUCCCACAUUCAGGCCACCAGCCAUAAAACAAGUCUUAAGAAGCAACUUAGGUGCAAAAUUUGGGGAUUAGGGCAAUUGGGGGAGGAGAAUGUUUAUUAUCAUCUAUCAAUUAAAAGAACAAGAAGAAGAAGAAGAAGAAGAAGAAGAAGAAAACAUACCUAUAGGAUUUAGGAUGAGAGUAAGAGAGGAGCUUGAGUAAGUUGAGAGAGAGGAUGAAGAAAGCACGCGGCUGAAGCUUGAGAUAGGGAGAGAUUUACGCUAAGAUGAGAGAGAGAAAUAGAGUUAUGGUUUUGGAGUUGUGUUUUAAUUUAAUAUGGGUAUGGGUAUGGGUCAUAAUGUGGGUUAUAAUUUUAGUAUAGAUGGGUAUAUGGGUUGGGUUAAUGGGUUGGGUAUUAAUCUAAUAAAUAAAAACAAAACAAUACACGAAAACAAAAAAAAACUUACCUGCUCACCCCCCAGCCCAGCGCUCUACGCAAGGCUAGCGGCGGGGAGUUUUGACAAUCUGUAAAGGGCGCCCCAGGCAGCGUGGAGCACUGGCCUGGGCGCUGAUUCGUGAAUUUAUUUUUUUGAUAACAUCCCGAUCCCUCGAGCCCUUUAUAUAUCCAAUUUACAUGCCCCGCACCAUUCUGCCUAUAAUUUCUAUGUCUACAAAGAAAAUGCAAACUCUAGUCUACUCUAACUAAAAAAAAUUAAAAAGCUAAGCUAUGAAAGAAAUAAAAUUUGGGUUGCCUCCCAACAAGCGCCUGAUUUAACGUCGCGGCACGACGCAGGGCCUCGCUUACUCAUCAGCGAGUACUACUUUGGUUUUCUCAUGAUUAAUGAUUCCUCCCCAAUAGUGCUUGACUCUGUGUCCAUUCACUAAAACUUUCCUUUCACCAUGUAAAGCGUGCAACUUAAUUGCACUAUAAGGAGUGACUCUCACCAUCUCAAAUAGACCUGACCAUCUCGAUUUCAACUUUUCAGGAAACAACUUGAUCCUAGAAUUGAAAAAUAAUACUUGUUGGUCUGGUUCGAAGUGACGUGGUUUGGAACUCAUCUAACUUAUUCAACUGCAAGAGUCUCUUCUCGCCGGCGGCUUAGAGGUCCAUAUUUAACUUUUUAAUGGCCCAAUACACUUUGUGUUCAAGUUCAACAUGCAAGUGACAUGCCUUCCCAUAGACAAGCUUAUACGGAGACACCCCAAUUGGUGUUUUGUAGCAAAUCUAUAUGCCCACAAGGCAUCAUCUAACUUUGCAGCCCAAUCUUUUCUAUUCACACUCAUUGUCUUCUCUAAUAUUUGUUUUAUUUCUCUGUUAGGGACCACAACUUGUCCACUUGUUUGCGGAUGAUAUGCUGUGGAAACUCUAUGGGGGACUCCAUAUUUAGCUAGAAGGUUAUUCAACAACUGAUUGCAAAAAUGUAUCCCUUCAUCACUAAUCAAGUCCGUGGAGUCCCAAAUCGAGAAUAUGUUCUUCUUCACAAAUGCAUCUACCACCAUGACAUCAUUCGUUAGCAAUGUAACCACAUCUACCCAUUUUGACACGUCGUCAACUGCUAGCAAGAUGUAUUUGUUUCAUCUGGACAAUGGGAAUGGUCCCAUAAAAUCUAUCCCCCAUAAAUAAAAAAUCUCGACCUCCAGGAUGUUAUUCAAAGGCAUCUCAUGCCUCUUUGUGAUUGUUCUUGUUCUUUACCACCGGUCACACUUCUUAACAAAUGCAUGAACAUCCUUGAAUAAUGUUGGCCAAAAGAACCCAGAUUGUAAUACCUUUGCAGUUGUUCUAUUACCUCCAUGAUGGCCCCCAUAAGGUGAUGAAUGACAAUCAUACAAUACUAAUUCCACCUCUUUUUUUGAAAUACAUCUCCUCAUCAACUGAUCAUCAUACUGCUUUUACUAGAGUGGAUCAUCCCAGUAGUAGAUGUUCACAUCAUGUAGAAACCUCUUUCUAGCUUCAGAUUCAAUUUCAAGAGAAAGUACCCCACUCACAAGAUAAUUCACAUAGUCCGCGUACUAUGGGGGAGGGUCUUGGGUGAUAGCAAAAAGUUGCUCAUUAGGAAAUACCUCUUUAAUUUGUCCACCCUCAUCUACGUGGUCAUGAUUUUCCAGCCUUGAUAGAUGGUCAGCUACAUGAUUCUCUAUGACCUUUCGAUCUCGUAUUUCUACAUCAAAUUCCUGCAACAACAAAACCCAUUUCAUCAAUCUAGCCUUGGAUUCCUUUUUUGUAAAUAGAUAUCUGAUUGUUGCAUGAUCGGUAAAGACUAUGAGUUUUGUUCCCACCAAGUAUGCCCAAAAAUUCACAAAGGCCCACACAACGGCCAACAACUCCUUUUCAAUGGUGGUGUAAUUCACCUGUGGAUCAUCAAGAGUCUUAGUUGCAUAGUAGAUGGAAUAAAACAUAUUGUCCUUCCUCUGGUCUAGCAUUGCCCCAAUAGCAUGGUCACUUGCAUCACACAUAAGUUCAAAUGGUAAGGACCAAUCUGGUGCCGCAAUAAUGGGGCAACAACCAACUGCUUUUUUAGCUCCUCAAAUGCUUCCAGGCAGGCAUCAUCAAAAGUGAAAGUUACAUCCUUUUCAACAACCUACAUAAAGGAGUAGCAGUUUUUGAAAAAUCCUUAAUAAAGCGUCGAUAGAAUCUGGUGUCCCAAGAAACUUCGGACACCCUUCACAGAAAUGGGUGGAGGUAAUUUUUCAACCGCCUCCACCUUUUCUUUAUCAACUUCAAUGCCGCUCCUUGACACUCUGUGGCCCAACACGAUGCUUUCCUGCACCAUAAAAUGCCAGUUUUUCAAAUUCAACACUAGAUUUGUUCUUCACAAUGGCCAACACCUUGCUCAAAUUCUUCAAACAACCAUCAUAAGAAGACCCAAAGACUGAAAAAUCAUCCAUAAAGACUUUCACAAUUGUUUCCACUAUAUCGGUGAAAAUAGUCAUCAUGCACCUCUGGAAAGUGGCCGGUGCAUGCCCCGCCAAUCUUUCCAACAUUUUGUCUAUGAAUGGAAGUGGGAAUUGGUCUUUGCAGGUUGCUUUGUUGAGCUUUCUGUAAUCAAUAAACACUCUCAACCUUGUCACAGUACGAGUAGGAAUUAGCUCAUUUUUCUUAGUCUCUACCACAGUCAACCCCCCAUUUUAGGCACACGUUGCAUUGGGCUUACCUAGUUGUUGUCAGAGAUAGGAAAGAUGAUACAUGCAUUGAGCCACUUAGUUACUUCCUUCUUCACAACCUCUUUCAUAAGGGAUUUAAUAUCUUUUGCUGCUCAACACUGGGCGGUAUCCAUCUUCCAGAAAUAUUUUAUGCAUGCAAAAUGAUGGAUUGAUUCUCUUAAUGUCAACAAUUGUCCAACCUAUAGCCUUUUUAUGCCCACGAAGUACUCGGAGCAAUUUCUCUUAUUGUAUAUUAGUCAAGCUGGAUGAGAUAAUCACUGACAAUGUCUCAGAGUUCCCCAAAUAAACAUAGCGCAGAUGUGCUGGAAAGGGGCUUAAGUUCUAGCUUUGGAGCUUCUUCAAUAUAUGGCCUAGGAGGGGUCAGAGUGACGGGACUGUCCAACUCCUCAAAUCUCCCAAUCCCAUGGACAUAACUGCAAGACAUGUCAAGUACUUGCUCAAUUUCUCCCAUCAUCUCAUCUUCAACUGUCUGGACACAGAUAGUGACAUCAAAUUGAUACUCGCUCCAAGAUCACAUAAAGCCCGCCCGAGUGCAUGUACCAAUCGAGAUUUGGAUAGUGAAACUACUCGGAUCCUUUAAUUUCUGAGGUAGCUUUCUUUAAAUUCUUAAUCUACAUUCCUCAAUGAGUACCACAAUCUCGAACUCGGUCAACCUCCUUUAUUUGCCACUAUGUCCUUGAUGUAUUUAGCAUAUUUGGGUAUUUCUUUCAAAAUGUCGACCAGUGGAAUAUUGAUUUGCACCUGCUUCAAAAU
rnacentral:lncRNA from 1 species